ACAAGGAUGAAGAGCUCGAAGAAGGUGCACUCUCUCAAGCCUUUCCGUACAUAGUCUUUCUUCUUUCACCCAUAUUUGUUGUGCUAUUUAUUGCUGUCCAAAGAGGAAUAUAGUCCAUGAAGAUUAUAGGAUUACCUUUUUGUUUGUCUUUUCCCCUUUUCUUGUUUUGGAGUUCCAAUGCAGAUUAAUUAUCCAAGUUGUUACUUCUAGCUGGGUUAUUGUUCUGCCCAACCUCUUUGGAGUUCUAUAUAGAGAAUUGGUAAGCACUUUUUGCUGAGAUUUUCGUUUUUUUGUCACAGUAGAAUUUAAGAUGAUAGACAGUGGUACUGUUUCCAUGGAUGCUUAAAGCUAUAUGAAGAUUCUGAGCCAGUGCAAACCCGUGAUGAGUACUCUGAAAGUUGUGGCUGAUAUCUCGAGUUAUAUACCGAGGAUAAUGUUCCCAGGAGGCACAUUUAUUACAGUCAUAAGGACGAGAAGAGAAAGAAGUAUACCGAUAUACUAAUGGUCCAUCCCUUCCAGGGGCUUACGCUUGUUUACAAGAAAAAGGCCGACAAAUCAAUAAUUUACUAAUUUCAGGCUGCUGGUAAUGAAGAAUAUAUUAUAAGACCUCUUACUCAGAACAAAACUGCUUGGUUUUUUUAAUCUGAUCAUAAUCGAUCAGAAGCUCAACCUACACGCACUUCUGCUUAUUCCCAAUAUUUUCAGGCACGGACGUGCAUCCCCCUCCCAAGUUAGAACCGCGACAAAAUGAUCAAUCCUAUAGAAAAGUACUUUUGCUUUUAACGGAGCGUUUUGCAAGUAUCCGUGGGGAGAAGCAAAUGAAAGCUCAGACAAUGACAAAAAAUCUAAAGUUUUGCCAAUCGAGAAAUUAUUAUAAUUUCAUCCCAAUUCAACUCAUGAAUCUUGCUAAAUAAAUUCAAAAUAAAAUGUGGCAGAUUGAAAUAUCGCAAGCCGAAAUUUACCCAUAAUUAUAGGUAGCAUGUGACGAGAUACUCUAUUAGAGCAAGCCCCACAGUGAUGAGGACUUAUCGGUGAUGAGGAAUGUGAAAGCAGGCCCGCGAGAAUCGGCGGUAUUAGCGACAGCCAAAGGCGCCUAGUCGAACACGUAAUAAAUUGAUGAUACGCUUGGACCAGCAAAUAAUAAAAUGGACAUGAAGCUUUCAAGAGUCCUCUUUUCAUCACUCCAUUAUUCCGGAAUCAGCGUCAUCAGCACCUAUAUUUCCAAGAGCAUCUAAAAGGAGACAUUCGUUUCUUAUAAGGUAGCCAGCUGCAUUUAUUGCACGCUCCUCGUGCAUUCAUAUUAACCCCAAUCCCAUCAUUUGACUUUAACACCACGCUAGGGUGCAAAACAGCCAGGUGGAGGAACCUCGACGAGCUCGUCCAUUCAAAGUAACAUCAACCAUAAACUCAAACUUGUCAUCUCUAUAGGUUGCUGCUGGAAGCAGAUCAAGUUCCCAUUGGGCAAAGCUAACAAAAUCCGACCUCUGAACUGAGCUUUUCGAAACAACUAAACUCGCUCUUAGUUGAUAACAAUCUGUUUUUGCGUAGAUGUUUAUUCUUUUUUGUUUUUGUUUUUGACGAACGUAGAUGUUUAUUCUAUGCAUAUUAAAAUGUGCAACACAAGAAGGACGAGAAACAUGAAAAGGGUAAGGGACAGCUGGCGGCAUCUGGAGCAUCAGCAACUUUGCGUAUGUGAACGUCAAGAAACAUAGCACCCUCUUCAUGUUUAUUUAUUUAUUUAUUCUUUAAGGUAAAUAACACCCGCCACCUCUAUAAAAACCACAUAUAUUUAAUGGCUAUCCAUAGGUAUUAGAUCCCACACAUCCAUCUCACACCUCGAUGCUUCAAACAGUCCCUCUCUCUCCCCCCCUCUCUCUAUACUAAAUCCCGCCUCUCUUUCUUGUAAGUAUAGAAAGAAAGCCUUCCUUUUUCAUCCACCCAAAGCAUUUUGCUUCUCCAACAUGGAGCUCCACAUUCCAACACAACUCGCAAUCUUUUCCAUUUCCAUCAUCCUUUUGACUCGCUCUUGCUCUUCUUCUUCUUUGCCGUGGUCGUCACUGUCGAAUUUGCACCCGCUGGUGGUUGACUCCGCGCUUGAGCAUCUCAACUAUACCGCCAUAUCUGAGUUCCGGUUACUAAACAGAAGGCAAAUUCUCCAGUGCCACGACCCAAAUAGGUAUCUCCAAAUCAAUGUCAGCGGCGACACCGCCCUUAAGGAUGAAGAGUAUCUCACGGUUAAGGUGACCGGAGUCUUGGUUCCAGCGGACUCCGACUGGGUUGCCAUGAUAUCUCCAUCGAACGCCGAGUAUGAAUCAUCCUAACAUCUAGUUUUGAACUGUAUUCGUACAUGUUAGCGGUUACUCAUUCACGUUCCUUCUUUUCCUUUCGUUUUGUUCUUGUGGGGUGCAGUGUCUCAGAUUGUCCAUCAAAUAAGGCUCGAUAUGCAGAGACCGGUGAUCUUAGUAAUCUUCCUCUUCUAUGCCAUUAUCCUGUCAAGGUAACCUUAUCUAACCUUGAAUCAUGCCUUGUUGAUGACUUAUCUUCCUUCUUCUUGAUAAGUAAUGGAAACAUAAAGUAGUGAGGGGCUAAAGAAAAAAUACUGGAAUUUACAAGGGCCGAAGAGAAAAGCAACUGAAAAAGAACUCAUGCGGCACAUGCCUUGCUCCUUUUGCCAAGACUUUGGUUCGGUCCUCACAAGUGACCCCCAAAGUCAUGUCAUGGUGUUCAUAGCAUUCACGACACUAUCAUAUUUCAUUUGGUUAGGGACAUUUUGAGUUGCAACAUAACCAAAAAAUUAAUAUACUUGAUAAGACUCUUCCAUGAUUGUGUUGUGGUGGUAGAUAAAAUCGGAUUAAAAUGAUAAAAUAUGUGAAAUUCAGUUUACUUUUCGAAAUAUUCUAUUGAUGUUGCAUUUUCUCUAAGUACCAUUAACCUAAUUUAAUUAAUUCAACUAUAUAUAUUUAUACCAACCCAACCUCAAGCUUUAAUGGUCGUAGCUGCUUUUAAGGUUUAAAGUAUUCCUCGUCAAGUCUUCAUCUGCCGAAAGAAGCGGAGAAGAUAGGAGUCCUUUUUAUUUUUAUUUUUAUUUUUAUUUUUAUUUUGGUCAAAAGUUUCUCCUUUUGGGUUCAAAAGAGAAUCAAAAGAGUCUUUUGUUCAAAAAUCUGCUAAAGUUUCAAUCAAUAAAGUCAGAUUUGGUUCUGGUUGAAAUAUUUUGCGAUGUUCUUUAUCGAAUUCUUUUGUCAUUGUUAUUUUCAUUUAAUAAAUAAGUAAUUGACUUAUAGAACCAUCCUUCAAUAAUUUACGUAACUUUUUUAACGAAAUUUAUGUACUUUUUUCAUUGACCAUGAAAACUCCAAACUUUGAUGAGUACAGAAAAUAAUGAAAAUACUUCUCAGAGUUGGUUUUUUAUUAGUCAAAUGAAGACAUUCCAUAUGUAACUUAGCUAAAAAAAAAAAAAAAAUUUGAGUAAUGCCAGAUAUUAAUGAAGGUUUACAAUAGUUUUCUUUCUUUUUGUUGUUGUAUUUUUUGGUACAUAUAAGAUGCUGCAUGACGCCAGUUACAUUGAAUAUUUAAGUAGGCCCUUUUUUUUUUUAUCAUUAUCAAAAUGAUUUAAAAUUUCAUUUAUUGCAACCACCCUGGUAUUAUACCUACAUCUUUUAUUUUCUCUUUUUGCAACGUCCCAAAUUCCCUAAAUUUUCUGGUAUACCUACCAUCACUUGUCUAUUUAGUUUUAGAGUAGGAGAAAUGUUUCCACUUCAACUUUUUGGUGCACGCUUAUGUGCAUCAUUUUCAGGCACAAUACUUGAGCAAGGAUGCGGACUAUCUGAGCUGCAAGAAGAAGGAGUGCAAGAAAUACAAGGACGGUCAAUGUGUGGUGACAACAUGCGGCGGCACCUUGACGUUUCACGUUGUAAACAUCAGAACCGACAUUGAGUUUGUGCUGUUCGCCGGGGGUUUUGCAACACCAUGUGUAUUGAAGAAAUCGAACUCUUUGACUUUUGCUAACCCGAACCAACCGCUCUAUGGCCAUCUCUCCAGCAUUGACUCGACUGGGACCUCGGUAAGCACUGAAUUGGCUAACAAUUGGUGUGUUGAGCUUGCGGGGGUCGUGUCGCCGACAUUUGGCUCUAUGAAUGUCAUGACAAAUGUCAAUUAUAUCAUUAGCCCAUGAAGUCGCGGUAACAUGCCUGCAUAACACACUGCGCCUGAGCGUGGAAUAACACUACAUAAAACACGCGAAAGCAAUGCAGACUGCGACUCGUAAUCAUACAUGCUUUAAUCUGCAGAUGAGGAUUACAUGGGUUAGUGGAGACAAAGAGCCCCAAGAGGUGCAAUACGGAGAUGGGAAAUCACAAACUUCCGAAGUUAGUACAUUCUCACAAGAUGAUAUGUGCAGUGAGUUAACCUCAAACCCUUACUUGAAAACUCUGUAAAUGCACUGGGACUUCCUUGUCACAUGCAAAACAAUUGAAGUGCCUUAUGAAGACUCAUUCUUCACUAAAUUUAGUUUUGUUGGUCUAAUUUUCAGCAGGUAAUGUGCUACAUAGUCCUGCCAAAGAUUUCGGUUGGCAUGACCCCGGUUACAUUCAUUCAGCCGUGAUGACAGGACUGCAGCCUUCUACCUCUUAUCCUUACAAAUAUGGAAGGUAGAAUCUCCUGACUGAAGCUGUUUUGCUUAUGAGACUGAUCGGUCUCAGAGCAGCUUGAGGUAUUCUUGCUGAGCAUAUUGCAAUAUCUCUGGCAUUUCUACUUGAUGCAGGGUCAUCGAAUCUGCAGUGAAUGUGAAUGAAUGAUAUGCAACGGACUUGUUCCUUACAAUAAUUGAUUAUGAAUUCACGACAUUAGGUAGAUGACAAAGCACCGGCAAAUGCUUCUAUAUGCCUUAGUUCUUAAAGAUGAAUUGUAGCUGCAUGUCUGAUCGAGAGAGGAUCAAGUACACGGCUUUCAAUAAAAAGGAGCAUCUUGUUAUCAUGACAUUAGAGUAAUACAUCGCAUGACACUGCAGAUGAAUUUCCACAAGUGGAAGUAGAUGGAGUGAUCUAUUUUUCACUGGCUUGAAUUAGAUGGUUAGAAAUUGAAUUGAUGAGAAACUCUUAUAUCAUUUGUUGGCGUAUCCGAUUUAUUAUUGGCGAUGGUUUUAUGAUAUCUAGUGAUUCAGCGGGUUGGAGUCAACAAGUUCAGUUCAGGACACCGCCAGCAGGAGGAUCAAAUGAACUCAAGUUUCUUGCAUUUGGGGAUAUGGGAAAAGCCCCUCUCGAUGAUUCAGUCGAGCACUACAUUCAGGUAAACAUGCAUUCCAUAGAAUGAAAAAUCACAUUUCUGAUUGCAACAUUGAAAAGUUGCUAUCCAUACUGGACGUACACUAGGAGGAAUGUGUAUCCUUCAAAAUUUUAAGAAUGCUGAUGGAAGGGACAAAAUGCCACGAUUUGGGGGGAGUAUCAUAUUGAAAACCGGCUCUCCAUGAAACAUUAUUAGCACGUCACAUUCAUCUGAAUUAACUGUAAAGGCACAGAUUAAGCUGUUUGCAAGAAUUCAAACUCCUGAUUAUGAUGGUAUCCUAAAAUGCGACUUUAUAUAAUUCUACAGCCAGGAUCAAUUUCGGUGGCGAAGGCAGUGUUGGAUUAUGUAGACUCUGGCAAUGUGGACGCCAUCUUCCAUAUUGGAGACAUAAGCUACGCCACCGGCUUCUUAGUGGAGUGGGAUUUCUUCCUCAACCUCAUCAGCCCUUUUGCUUCCCGAGUUUCGUACAUGACUGCAAUUGGGAACCAUGAAAGGUAACUAACUACUGCCAGUCGAUAUCCACCUCUUCCUGCAUAUUAUGGAAGACUCAGUAAACAGCUGAACCAACAUACUUAGCAGCAUGCAUUGAAGAUGAUUUAUAAGUUUCUUUACAUGAAGAGAUUAUGGGGGCUCUGGAUCCAUGUACUCAACUCCGGACUCCGGUGGGGAAUGCGGUGUUGCUUAUGAGACAUACUUCCCAAUGCCAACCCCAGCGAAGGACAAGCCAUGGUAUUCCAUAGAACAAGCCAGUGUUCAUUUUACUGUGAUUUCAACCGAACAUGACUGGUCCGAGAAUUCAGAGCAGGUAAGGGUGAUCGAGCUGAACCCUUUUGUUCUCACAUUUGCAUGUCGAUGAGCUGUCAUUUUAUAUCAUGGGAAUGUCAUGUUGUCAGUAUCAAUGGAUGAAAGGGGACAUGGCUUCAGUCGACCGAUCUAAAACUCCUUGGUUAGUUUUCACGGGGUAAGUACAUUUGCUUCUGGGUAAUUGUGAGUUUCACCACUUGAUUUUGCGUACUCUCAAACGAAAAAAAAAAAAAAAAAAAAUCUCAAGAAAACAGAGAUCAAGUGUAUCGGUUGCCUCUUGCAGGCACAGGCCCAUGUACACUUCUGGUUCUGGAGGAGGUGCUGACCAUAAGUUUCUUGAUGCUGUAGAACCGUUGCUAUUGGACAACAAGGCAACAUUCUAUUUCUUACUCCGGUUCUCAUGUAGAAUAAUCCGUUUAUUUGUGAGAUUGUACUCAUCAAGCAUUUGAAAUCACAGGUUGAUCUAGUUCUCUUCGGCCACGUUCAUAACUAUGAAAGAACAUGCUCGGUUUACCAAAAUGAGUGUAAAGCCAUGCCAAAGAAAGAUCAAAGCGGGGUUGAUACUUAUGAUCACAGCAAUUAUAGUGCACCUGUGCAAGUGGUUAUUGGUAUGGCCGGGUUCAGUCUGGAUAACUUCCUAGAUGAGGUUAGAGUCCGUUCUCCCUCACACCGUUGUAAAUAGUAAACCAACAUAGCUUUUUGUCUAAACCUGCACAAUUCUUUGGCAAUUUCUGAAAAUCUGUCCUUGUAUUCACCAGUGCUUAAUCCCAAUUCCAUUUCUUGCAUUUUCUUUGGCUGAAUGUUGCUUAGUCAAACAAUGCCGUCUUAACAACACCUUUCCGAUUUAUGGGCCUUGAAAUAUCCAGAUUCCAGAGAUUUUUAGCUCGCUGUUAAGAAAUUAAAUGCUGAUUCUGCUGCUCAUAUCAUUCAACUUGAUGCGGUUACAUGGGGAUUAUCAUUUAUGUUGCUCCCAUGAAUAAGAUCUGUAGAAGUGAAGGCCCGUUGAUUUUUUUGCAGCCAAGUGACUGGAGUUUGAUAAGGAUUUCCAAAUUCGGGUAUUUCAGAGGACAUGCAACUCCAGAAGAGUUACAACUAGAGGUCAGCACUCUCGAAUUUUCCGUCGCCCUUCCCACAAUCAUCAUUCGGUUUGGCUUUAUGACUGCUUACUCGAUUACAUAUGACUUCAUUUAUUGAGAAAUUGUUCUAGUCUGUUGUGAUGCUUUGAAAUUAGAAACUAUGUACAGUUUCUGAUGUCCUGCUCUCUAAGUAGAGUUUGGAACAUUAAGCAGCUACAUGUUACUGCAAUCAUGACGACCAUGCUUACAAGCUCAUUUAACUUCAAUCUACAUCUUGCCUGCAGUAUGUGAAUGCCGGCACGAGGAAGGUGGAAGACAUCUUCCGCAUCACUCGAUAACCCGACUUUUCAAGUCAACAGGAAGGCAUUGCAGGCAAUAACAAGCUGCCAUAGCUACAUAGUUAUACACUUCCACAUUGUACUUUACACAUUCAAAACAAACAGAUAACUUGUGCUGAUACACUAGCAAUAAAUCUUGAUUGUCCGUGCGACCUAAUUGAAUGCUCUUGAUUUGUCAAGAAGGAAUACAAAUUCAUGAUUUCAGUACUCUUGUGAGCAAUCUAACGAGAUGUGUUUAAUGCAAGAGUGGUCUCUCCUUCCGAGUGAGUUUAGAACCACGAACUCUUGAUAGUUAUCAUAAUCUUUCAAAAAUUGUUAUAUAUUUAUGUAAAAUUCAGUUAUUUCAACUCAUGAAUUUUCGGAAUUUUCGUCAUGAAUGUGAUGCAAUGUAAUAAAAUUCAGGAAUUGCUUAGUAAUCCUAAAAAAUUUUGAAUUAUUUAAGUCACUAUCAAUAAUGAGUAAUGACACUCGACCAACCAACCUUGGUCAUGAAUAUGAUCAGCAAAAGCAUAAUCUUCUAAAUUAAUGUCACUGACCUAAUUGACAAAAAUAUCUCCCCUCUCUCAUCCGAAAAACAGCCGUCCAAUCCAUACAUACCACGCUCAACCGUCAAUUUGAGAAUCGUUGAGUCGCGACAUAUCACUCUAUACCUUUGCUUAAGGAUUUACUUCUCAUUUGACUUGUCUCACCAAUUCACGUAGUUGCAGCUGCAGCCACAACUCAAUUACCUAGCUAGACAUUUUUCUUAUAGGUAAUUUUUGAAAUUCUUUCCAGCCGGAAUGAUUUAUCACAAUUUCCUUUGUGAAGUCGUAUUGAUGAAGUUCUAAGUAGUAUUGACACCAACACAUGACACGUGGUACGACACGACAAGCCGACACGUCGUUUGUCAAAAAACAGAGAAUUUCGAUACGUUGAGACGCUUUGUAUAUUAAACAUAUAUUUUUUAUAUACAUAAUAAAUUAUCAUUUUUAUGAUUUUUUCAAUCAAAUUAAUUUUAUUGAAAUUCACAAAUAAAUAAAUAAUUAAAAAAGCCUAGAAUGAAUUUACACUAAAAACAUUAAUCCACCAUUUAUUAAUAUCAUUAUUGUUUCAAUUUGACAAAUUCAACUCUAUUCAAAUAAUUCAUUAAACUUGGAGAAAAAAUAAUCAAUUGAUAUUCCGGACUCGCAUGUUAGAUUUGUUGGAAGAGUAAAAAAAACUUAAGGGGUGAAUUGUAUAUCAUGAAAAGUGGGAGUUAAAAGAGAAGAGAAGAUUAGGUUUUUCUUCAUUCUUCAUUUAUUUUUAUUUUUUAUUAUUGUAUUUCAUUUUUUCACAUAUAUACAUUUUGACAUCUCAUUUAUUGAAAAUUUUUAAAAUUGAUCUCGAUAUCGGAAUCACAUAUUAGAAACUUGUAUGUUGGAAUUCCAACUCGAGUGUCGGAAAGUGUUGGAAACAUUGACCAGGUGUCGGAUUUUCUGAUACGCGUUGACCGAGUGUCGAAGAGUGUUGAACACGUGUCGAAGUGUCUGACACGACACGAAGGCUCUUAGAGAGUGUUGGUGUUUCAUAGAUGAAGUUUAUUGGAACGCUAGCGGCAUAUUGCCUUUGUUUGACAACUUCAAGCUCUCGUGUUCGAGCCCGACCCACUUCAUCCAAGUCCUUCACUACGCUCUACGAUCUGUGAAGCACUUUGCGAAAUCCAUGGUUCGCAAGAUGGAGACGGCGAAUUGGAAAUCGAACAGAUCCGAAAAUACCGGCUUUGUCCAUGGCUGGUCGGUAAUGUUGCAAUUCACGGAGCGUUGUCCAUGGCCUCAAAAGUGAAAAAAGAAAAGGAAGAAGAUAGUGAGAGGAGAGAGUAACGAGAGAGGGGGUGACCGGGGACAGAGAAAAGAUCUGAAAAGUGGGCUCGGAUUCACCAUGUGUUAAUCUCUGGAUGGUUCAAUGCAAAUCCUAUUGUGGUGUGUUUAAUGCACAUAACAUUUUCUCGCAUUGCAGGGGUCCAUCUGCCAGGAUUUCGCUUUCCAGGUGAGUACUUGUUUUCAUAUGUGAAGGAACUCCUGACAAUAUCAAGCUUAAAGAAGCUCGGGCAGGGUAAUUUUAGGAUAUCUGGGAAUGAGAGAUGCUUCCGUGACUCCCUUCUUGCGUCCCCUCUCCGCUGCCAGAGUAGUAUCUGGUUGAGCUUGAAGCUUCUCGCACAUCAUUUGGCCUGCCAAAAGUCAGCAAGAGAGCUAUGCAAUUAAUGUACAGCUUCCAGGUAAUUGUGAAUGAGAUGUCAAAGAAGGUGGAAGUACGUCAUAGUGAAUUUGUAGGCCAUUUCUGGCCAAAGAGCAUCUAAAAUGAUGGUUGUGACGUCAUGGAGCUGAUGGAGGUAAGAAGCUCAAAAGCUCUCUGCAGAGAGGACAGGCUACCGAAACUACAUUGAGCCUUUUUAUCGAAGACAAAAGUAACUAUCCUCUUGACAAGGAUGAAGAAUAUACAACAAGCAAUCGAUUGAAGCUGUGGUCUCAAGGGAAGAUAUCUUUUUCCAUCAUUCUCUUAUCCCUAUUGUGACUUUCCCGGAGUUGAGCUAGGAAAGCUAAUGAACUACUAAAUAGAAACGAAGAUUGGUCUCACGAGACAAUCACUCCUUUAGCACGGACUAUUUCAAACUUUACUAGUCGCUUGAACCCAAUUCAACAUGCAUUUAAACUUAUCUCUUAGAUCUUCUACUAAUCAGUUAUUAGUUGAUCGGACACCCAAGAAAAAUGUAGGAAUGCAUUUUAUUUUUACGAACUAGAGAUUUAAUAGAUUCGUGGACUUGAUUUUGUUAGAUUAAUUUAACGCUUUUUUGAUGCAUUUUCUUUUUAUUUCGGAGAUGUUUCUGCAUGCAAUCUUAAUUAAUUUUAUCUGAUGCCAUUAACAUAUGAAGGAUGAUCAUGUGGGUGCGUAAUCAAGAACAUAAUACUCAAUAAUCAAAAUAGUAAAUAGAUUGCAAAAAAAAUUAAAAAAACUAGAUGCCCUAAGAAAGCGAAGCGUAUCCCUAUUCAUCACCAAAGAUUCCGCCAAUUAUUACUAUAAAAAAUAUGUAAAUAGAAUGGACGAAUGUUAUAAUAACGGCUUACUAAUAUGCAACCUACACUAAUUUUUUGUAUAUUUUAUAACUUAAUUAACAUGUAGGACUUAGAGAACCCGCAACUGCAUCCUAAAAUUCUAUGCGACAGGAAUUGACUUACACGCACUAACUAGAUUAUGAGUUUUUCAUGGGUGUUAUUGUUGGCACUUCAAUUUUAUCAUUUUAUUUAAGACUUAAUGUUAUAGAAAAUUAGGAAUUAGUCUUUAACCCCUAAAUAAAAAUUAAUUUUCAUCAAAUUGCAUCACAUAGAGAUAUUAGGAGCAUUUACAUUACUAUCACUAAUUAAUAAAAUUUUUAAAAAAUAAAAAAAUAUCGAAAAAAUCGAAUUUUUUUAAUUAAAAAAAAAAAGGUAGAUUGGGCUAGGCCCGGUCCUUUUCCGUUCUCCUCUCCUCUGAAUCUUUUUCCGCCUUGGCCCAAGCCCAACCUCAUUUUCUUUUCCCCAAGCCCGGCCCCUUCUCUAUUUCCUCUCUCCUUCACUCCCUCAUGCUGGUCUUGCUUUUGGCAGUAAAGAAACGUACAAACCAAAGGAGGCAAGGAAUCGUGAGGGGGAAGAUGGCGGCGUGAUCUACGGGUCGGCAUCAAUCUGACCGGCAAGCUGGCGGUGGCAGAAGCCAAGCACCCCGGCUGUGAGAGAGGUUUUUUUUUUUUUUUUAGGUUAUGGUUUUUUCUAUAGAUUUUGGCUCCGAGAGCUCGAUUUAGAGAGGCAGACUGAGAGAGUGAGCAAGAAGAGAGAGCAAGCAGGCUGGUCCACUCGCACGAAGAAGGAAAAAGGGGCGAGAUUUGAGUGUUGGAGAGAGUCGAGGGCGAGCUAGAGAGAGUGUGAGAUUGGGAAAGUCCCUGGUCGUUGCCAGAGGCUCGGUCGUCAGUCGCCAUCCGUCGCUACAUGUCUCAUCCAAACCAGGUUGGCCUCCUUGAGCUACAUAUGUUCAUUUUUGAGGCGUCGGGCCGGAGCUCGCGUCCAACCGGUUUGCGCGAGCUCCGAUUUGUCAGAAAAGGAGAUGAAAUUUCGUAAGAGGCAGAAGAUGAAGAAGAAGAAAUUGUCUCCUUUUUUCAUUACUUUGAUUUCUGUACAACAUCAUGUAUUUAAUUACAAAGAAGAAAUUAAUAAAGGAAGUUAAAAUUUUCAUAUCUUUUCCUAUAUUUCUAAUCCUAAAAUAUACUUGAUUCCCUAUUAAUACAUAUCACAAAAUCAUAUCUUCCAACGCUCCCCUUCAAGCUGGUGGCUUGUAUAUGUCCAAGAUGCCUAGCUUGUUUAGAAGAUAUGUAUGUUGUCUUUGGUAAAGAGGUUUAGUAAAUAUAUCAGCGGGUUGCUCCGAGGUCCUGAUUCCUCUUGUCUCGACAAUUCCUUCUUGAAUCUUUUCUUGAGUGAAAUGACAAUCGACUUCUAUAUGUUUUAUCCUCUCAUGCAGUACAGGAUUUGCUACAAGCUUGAGUGGUGAAUCAUUAUCAUAGAAGAGUAAAGUCGGUCCUUUAACGCGAGCCUCGAGAUCCAGAAGUAGACCCCUUAACCAGACUAUUUCACAAACAGUCUUGGCCAUAGAUCGGUAUUCGGCUUUAGCUGAAGAUAAAGAUACAAUAAAUUGCUUCUUUGUCUUCCAUGAAAGUAAUAAUUCCCCAAAUUUGAUGCAGAAACCAGUGAUAGACCUCCUGCUCAUAGGACAUGUGGCAUAAUCUGCAUCACAAUAGGCCGUCAUUUCCAUGUUACACUUCCGAGAAAGAAGUAUUCCCAAACCUAGACAUGUCUUCAAGUAUCUCACAAUCUUCAAGGCUGCAUUCAUGUGAGAUUACUUCGGACUGUGCAUAAAUUGACUAAGAGUCUGCACUACAUAGCAAAUGUUUGGCCUAGUCAUGGUGAGAUAUAUUAAUUUUCCUACAAGUCUCUAAUAUCCUGAGGGAUCUUGUAAUGAUGGAUCAUCCGAAGGAGAGGAUACGCCAGUGUCAUAGUCGACGGAGGCCAGUUUGGCAUUUUGCUCGAUAGGAAUGACUGAUGGUCUACAGCCUGAUAAUCUUGCUUUUAAUAUUAUCUCCAUCACGAAUUUCCGCUAGCUUAAUGAGAUUCCCUGAUCUGAACGAGCUGUCUUAAUCCCAAGAAAAUACUUAGGUGGCCCUAAGUCUUUGAUAUGGAAAGUAGAAUGCAGAUACUCUUUAAGUUUCUUUACAGCAGAAUCAUCAUUCCUCAUGAUAAGGAUGUCAUCAACAUAGAUCAUCAAGUAAAUAUAUGACAUACCUUUUGUCCAGGUGAAUAAGGCAUAGUCAUACUUGGACUGAUUGAACCCAGCGGCUAUGAGUGCAUUGGUAAACUUAGCGUACCAUUGUCUGGAAGCUUGCUUCAAUCCAUAAAGAGAUUUGCGGAGACGACAUACCUUCGACUCCCCCUGUUUCUGUAAUCCUGGUGGAAGCUCUAUGUAUAUUUCUUCAUCCAGAUUACCAUGCAGGAAGGCAUUAUGGACAUCCAUUUGAUGUAAUGGUCAGUCACGAAAAGUAGCAAUAGAUAGAAAAGUACGAACCAUGACAUCCUUUGCUACGGGUGAAAAAGUUUCAUGAUAGUCGAAACAUUCUCGCUGGGUGAAGUCUUUUGCCACCAACCGGGCUUUGUAUUGUUCCACAGAGCCAUAUGCUCUGUAUUUUAUCUUAUAUACCUAUUUGCAUCCAAUAGGUUUGCGAUGAUCAGGUAAUGAUACAACAUCCCAAGUAUGAUUGUCUAUCUGGGCGUGUAAUUCAAAUUCCAUGGCCUUCUGCCAACGAGGAUCAUCUUUUGCCUCAUUAUAACUAGAAGGUUCUUGAUCUUCAGAAAUACGGCUUAUGCAACAUAGGUGUUCCGAUGAAAAUCCAUCAAAUGAGACAUAAGAUGAGAUAGGGUAACGAGUACUUGAUGAUCUUGAAGAACCGCAUAUAUAAUCUUUCGUCCAAGUUGGUGGUCGAGUAGCUCGAUGAGAACGCCGCUAAGGCUCCUGUGGUGUUGUGGAUAAUUCUUUAGUAGUUAUUGUUUCUGAAGUAUCCCCCAGCUGUGCUGGUUCUUCAUGCGAUGACUCUUCUAUAUGGGGCUGCUCAAUGGAAUCUUCAAUGGUAUUCUCAAAAGGUGUUGGAGGCAAGAUAUCGACUUCUCUUGAAGGGGAAGUAAUAAUGAAUGCUCCUCCAGAAGAUGAAUCUUCUUCCAACAAGAAUUGCCCAUUUGUCUUCUCAUCUUCAGAUAAAGAUGUUAAUGAAAAAGGAAAAACAUCUUCAUGAAAAACAAUAUCCCUAUUGACAAAGAAAUCUCCUGUAGAUGGUGCAUAAAGCUGAUACUCCUUUUGCAAUGUUGGAUAGCCCAUGAAUAUGCAUUGUUUAGCAUGCAGUGCCAUCUUAUCUCUAUGGCCUACUGUAGUUACAUAACAUAAACACCCAAAAACUCUGAGAUGACUCAGAUCCGGUUUUCUCCCAUAUAAUAACUCAAAAGGUACCUUUCCCUUUAGGAUGCGUGAUGGCAUGCGAUUGAUCAGAUAUAUUGCAGUGACCACACAAUCUCCCCAAAAUUUUUCAGGAAUAGAAGUUUGAAAUUUAAGUGCACAUGCCACUUCUAAAAGAUGGCGAUGCUUUCUCUCAACAACUCCAUUCUUCUGGGGUGUGUAAGUACAAGAACUUUCAUGCAAUGUCCCAUUUACAGAGAACAAGGAAGCACAUUCAGCAUUGAAAAAUUCUUUUCCAUUAUCAGUGCGUAUCCGACGGAUUGGUUUUUGAAAUUGAGUUUUGGAUAAGGAAAGAAAGGUCUUUAAAUGAGAAAAGACCUGAUUUUUGGAUUGCAUGAAGAAAAUCCAUGUAACACGAGUGUAGUUAUCCACGAUUGUGAGGAAGAACCUAGACCCAUCAUGAUUUAAAGUAUGAUAAGGCCCCCAAACAUCAGCAUGAAUUAGAGAAAGAAUGUCAUUUGCUCGAGAAGUGCUAUUCUGGAAAGGAGCACGUGUUUGCUUAGCCAUGGGACAAAUGGGACAUUUAGGACAAGGAAAUGAUGCAUAGUGGUCCAAUCUUUUAUGAUUAAGAAAUUUCAUACCAUUGGUAGUAGCAUUACACUGAGAAUUAUUGAAUUCAACAGGAGAUAAUUUAAAAAGAUGCGAAAAAUCCACCCAAAAAUAUAGCACUUGGUUGACUCUACCCAAGCCCAUCGGUUUGCCAGUCGAAAGGGCCUGAAAGAAACAUUUAUCAUAAUAGAAAAGAAUGUGAUAUGAAUUUUCUUCACAGGCUCAAGCAAUUGAGAUUAGACUGAAAUGGAAAUCAGGUACGUAGAGCACAUUUUGAAGAGUAACAAGGGAACUAAGCUUUACAGUCCCAGUCAUGGUGACUUUGGUGGUAUUUCCAUUUGGAAGUUGUACUGAUAUGGAGAAAGAUAAUUUUGUAAUGUCUGAAAGAAAAACCUUAUCACAGACUAUGUGGUCACUAGCACCUGAAUCAAUAAUUCAUGCAUCCUUUGAAAUUGAGUUAAUCAAACAAUAGGAUGUACCUAUGAAGCUGCCUCCUUUAUUAGAGGGAUCCAAUUUCUUCAAGGUUUCCAUCAGCUCAUGAUAUUGUUCAUGGGUAAUUGAUUUUCCCAUUGGUUGACCCGAUACUUGAAAAAUUGAGGAGAAUUUCCCUUUUUCUUUUUCUCCUGGCUUUCCAUGCAAUUUCCAGCAAUUCUCAAUUAUAUGGUGCGGGCGCUUACAAUAAUCACAAUACAUUUUACCUUUUCCUCUUGGCCCAUUAUUUUUUGCAUUUGAUGUGGGCCUAAUGGUGGAUUGAAAAGCUUGGGCCGAAAUGGGCCCACAUAGGUCGUCGGAUCCUACAAAGAACGGGCCCUGCGAGCCAUCCAGCCCAUGAAUGUUGGGUGAUCGUGAGCUGUCUGAUCCAAUUAGAUAGGUGCCACGCGAGCCAUCGGAUGUGGUUAGAUGGAUGCCACGCUAGCCGUCGGAUGCGGUUGGAUGGAUGCCACGUGAGCCGUCCGUCCAGUCGGUCCCUGGAAGAGGUGUGAUCCGUCCGAUUGGUGGAAGUAAUCUCCACUAUCCGUUCCUCUCCUUAAAACUGACCUAGGGUUUUCAUUUUCGAAAAACCCUAGAUCUACCUCUCUUCUCCCCGUGCUCCUCUGUGAUGAGCGGAAAUGGCUCCUGGCCGCUAGGACCAUUAUAUCUCCUCCCUUGCCGUGGUCCACCGUCCUCUGUUGGCUCUCCUCCUAUAUGGCGAGUUGGUAGAUACGGCUGAGACUUGGCAGAGGCUCCAUGGUCAGUAUUUGAGAGUGGAAUGACAGGUAUGCCUUGUUGAGAAUGAGGAGGAACCUCGUCGCCUUCUCCCUUUCUCGCAUUUGUUUGUAUUAUUGUUGGAUAUGGUCGGGCUAGUCAAACUUUUCCUCGGCUGCCUCUAAUUCAUUCCAUAGACCCGAAAUUUUGUUGUACACCGUUGUGAUGGUCAUGUUCCCUUGUUUCAGAUAUAAAAAUUUGUUGUAUGAGAGAAUUUUUUUUAACUUGGUCAAGUUUUCCGUACAUCUCCCUUAUGUUUUCCAACAUCUUUUUUGGAUCCUUCAUCAGGGGAAGCUUGGCUGCGACCUCGGGCGCGAUGCAGUUUCCAAUCUAGGUCCUAACUAGUUGGCUGCAUCUCCUCCAGAGCCAUGCCAUUCUCUCGUCGAACGGAAUCGGAAACGAUCCGUCGAUGAAAACCUCUUUGUCUUUCGUUACAAGUGCUUGCCGGAAUUCGCGCGACCAACUUGAAUAAUUAUCUUCACUUGUUAGUUGCUGACUUAUGAUCUUCAGUUCUGGUUCGUUGCUGUUUGUUGUAUACAACGAAUUGCUAGGUUCCGGCUGGCCACUGGUAGCGAGGAUCUGGUAUGGGAAGAAACCUGGUGCAGGAGUCGGGUAGGGAUUUGUGCCCUGACCCGAAUCGCCCAAGCCAAAUCCGUGAUCCGCAUUUUAAAAACCCGGGUAGGGAUUCGUUCCCAUACCUGGUCCAGUCGACCUGCCUGUCUGCUUCGGGCCGAUGGUAGGAUUUGCCCCAUCAUUGGUUGGUAGACCUCCAUCGGCUUGCACAUUGUUGUGGUAGCCAGGCGAUGAUGUAUUGGGGAUAGACCCAGGAUACCAUGGAUACGGUAUCCAUUGGUAGGGGUAGCCCGUGAAUGGUUGCCUUGCAUUAGCCUGAGCCUGCUGUUGCUACUGCACGUGCGGAUGUUGGGUCUGGAUUUGCCUUUCUUGUUGUUUUGAUGUAGGGACUACAGUAGGCGAAUCUUGGUCUCCCAAGGCUUGUAUUGAAGCUUCUGUUGCAGAUUGGUCAAUGGUAGUGGAGGUAAGAUCUUGUGGUCUUGUCAUGUUGGAAAAAAAAAUUUGAUUCCUCUAUUAACUCCUUUUGCAGACGAGGUUCCUUUAGGCAAUUAGACACUUUGAUUCCUUCGGCAACACUGCUAUGGAACUUGGAGUUUGCUUAUGAGGUAAUCGGAGCGGAAGCAAAGAAAUUAGUUCAGAACCAUAGAUGGCUCUGAUACCAUGUCAGAAAAGGAGAUGAAGAAAUUUCGUAAGAGGCAGAAGACGAAGAAGAAGAAAUUGUCUCCUUUUUUCAUUACUUUGAUUUCUGUACAACAUAAUGUAUUUAAUUACAAAGAAGAAAUUAAUAAAGGAAGUUAAAUAUUUUCCUAUCUUUCUAAUCCUAAAAUAUACUUGAUUCCCUAUCAAUACAUAACACAAAAUCAUAUCUUCCAACAAGGUUUCAUUGGUCCUCGGGUUGUGGCCGAAGCUGUUUGUCCUUCCUUCGUAUCUAUUCCAAAUGCGACCAACUAGCCUCUAAGUUGAUCUUGAACGUUUCUCGCGCAUGUUGUGUUGAUGUUUGCCUCGAAUGAGUCUGCGUUUCUUGUUGGCCGUUGCAUCCCAAGUGUUUGAUAAAAUGCUCGAAAGAGAACAGAAAGAAUAUUUCACGUUUUGACAUGGGAUCGAUUUGUUCUUGCUCUUAUAUACGCAAAAUUAUAUUUGUUUUGCUUGCUUCCAUUGAGUUUUUGUACGUUUAUCGUGAAAGAAUCAUGUAUCGUCGAGUGGUCGUGUUUCUUUGUUCCGGCAAAUGGGUUAAUGGUUGCCAGAGUUCGUGGCCGACGGUGGUUGGUGCCGGUUGGAAUGGACGACCGGUAGAUGGUGGUGGUUCGGCGGUGGAACGCCAGUUGCUUCGGUCGGUGUUGCCGUUUGGAUGGGCUUCGGUGAGGAACAAUAUCUCGGUGAAGAAGGGGCUUCGAGCGUGCAGAGAACCCACAAAGAAGGAGAAGGCUAGAAGAAGAAAAGAAAAGAUUAAAGGAAAAAGAAAAAUGAAAAGAAGAAUUAAAAAUUAAUAUUGAUAUAAAAAUGAAAAAGAAAACAAAAAAAAGGGUUUUAUGAAAUAGUUUUUGUCCGUCUUAGGUUAUGUUCGGGUUGUUGGACCGGGCUUGCGGGUCGAAUUGGGUUUAUCUGGUCCGAACCCGUUUAUCUGAACAUAAUAAUGUUAAAUAUUAAAAAUAUAUUAAAAAAUUUCAAAAUUCAAAAAAUUUCAAAGAAAUAAAAAAUUUCAAAAAAAUUUCCGAAAAUUCAAAAACUCUCUAAGAACAUUAAAAAAAUUCAAAAAAAAACUUUCAAAAAAUAUUAAAGAAUUCGAUUUUUUUCAAAUUUAAAAAAUUAGAAAAUUCAAAAAAUUCAAAAAUGUCAGAAAAUUCAAAAUUUCAUUAAAAAUUACAAAAUCCCAUUCCUUAAAAAUAAGAAAAAAAAGACUUUUUGAGCUAUUUUUUUUUUUUUUACAAAAAUAGAAGCUCCUUAACUCUAAAAUUGUGCUAAAAAAUUAAGUAAACUCUUAAGGAUUUACUUUAGGGUUUUAAUUGUCCCUAAAGACAAUUACUCUUGUUUGCAUGCUUUUGCUAUUUGUGGCUCCCUUUAGUUACAAUCAACAUUUAUCUUUUCCUUAACAUUAAGUUCUAGCUAUCCCAUGAAAUGUAUUUGUCGCGAUCAAUUUUUCGGGUGUGGACCACCUAGGUUUUGGCUAAUGGAUUUAAGCCUAGACUUAACUCGGGCUCUCCCAAGCCCAUAUCAAUUCGCGACUUAAGUUCAAGUUUUUUAACAUGCAAAUAGAUUUUAUCUACGAGUCGCCACUAAUUAGUUUACGGUAGGUCGAUUAGACACCUACGUAAAAUAAUGGGAGGAUUAUUUUACUCCUACGAACCAGAGACUUCAAAAAUGUUACACUAGACUUUGAGUACGGGGACUUGGUUACACUAGAUUUCUCUAAUACCCUUUCGGUACCAUUUCUUUUUAUUUUCAAAAAUGUUUUUGCAGGCAGCUUAAAUUGAUUUUAAAUUGAUUUUCCUAAUAUGUGAGGUAAUCUUGCGGGUGCGCAUUCCACCAAUUUAACACCCAGAUAAACAAUAAAAAAAAUUACAAAAAAAACUUACCUCAAAGCAAUGAAAGCAUCUGCGUUGUUAGAUCAUAAUUUACAUCAACAUCCUAGAUAUGAUUUCGAAUUAACACACAAUUUCUUUUUUGUUUUUUUUUUGUUUUCACUUGAUUAAUGAAAAUCCUGCAAUAUGCAAUGUAAUAUUAACUAAAUGAACUAACUCUAAUGAUAUGCAAUUUCUAAUUAAAUGGACCUAGUAACAAUCACUAAAUGACAUGCAUUUCAUGAAUCUAAUCCUAUAUGACAUGCGCAUGAUUUUUUGUAUUUUUUUUAUUCGUAAUUAAAAAUAACUAAUAAUAAAAAUCUAACUAAAGUGAGAUAUUAUCUAUUUUAAGUUAGGAAAUAGACUUAUCUGAAUCUUAUCUUAACUUCGAAAUUUAUCUCGACAUGCAAUUUAAUUCAAAGAAAUUAUCUAGCCUAGAUACCAUCUAAACAUGCAUUCUAAUGUAACCAGAAAAGAAUCUAAUUAUUCUAUCAUGCAAUUCUAUCAGGAAAUUAAUUCUAAUAUAUAUGAUAUGCAAAUGCAAUCUUUUUGUAUUUUCGAGAUAAAUAAAGCAAUUAAAAGAUAAACACUAAAUCAUUCAGAAUUAUCACAGAUAUCAUACAUCAUUUGAAUAAGGGAAUAAUAUCCAAAUAAGCUUGAUUAUAUUGCUAAUAAAAUUGAUAAAUUGAUCUUAAGUCUUAAAGAUCAAUAUAUCAAUUUUAUUUCCACGUGAUUAAUUAUUCCAUCUAAAGCCUUAUAGAUGUAAUAAAAAAUCGGUGUGCGGUUGCAAAUUAGGCAGUAAAAUAUAAUUGGGAACGCAUCGAUAAUUCAAAUACGCACGUAAGAUAUUGAAAAGCAUGUAUUAGGCAACAAAAUAUCUAAAUCAAAUUUAGAUAUGAUAAUUACCUAAUUCUGCCAAUGAUAUUACCACCACAAAUGAUAUUACCAAAUUUGGACUGAGUGGAAUCCGCUCAAUGGGUGACUGGCGGUGCGUGGUGGUGCUUGGCCUCGGUUGAUGGUGCGGUGAGGAUCAGGGCUUUGUGACUCACGGGCGGACAGGAUGGUUUGACAUCGAUGCCUCACUGGAAAAUCUGCAAAAAGAAGAAAUCUUCAGCAAUUGUGUUCUUCGUGGACGUCUCUUUCUUCGAAUGGGUUCUUCUCUGCUUGGACCAAUGUUUAUCAUAUCGUGCGUGUACUAUCUCUGGAGAACAAGAAUUUUGAGAAGCUUUUAUGAAUUUUGAUCAAGGGGAAAGAUUUAGUGCAGCCCUUUUACGCUUCUUGCAAAGAAUAAAGACCAGCUCAUAAGUCUUCUUCUGUACAAGUGGUGGAGGUCAAUAAGCUUUUCGGAGUCCAAGCGGUGAUUGAAUCUUGACCAAGUUCUCCAUCACAAUUCAAUCGUGAUAUAAUCUUUAACCGAUUUCCGUGCACCAUCACGAUGGACCUCCCUGAAAUUUGACUAAAGAACACCUGCAAUAAGACAAAUUCAAGGGUGACAACGACAAAAGCUCUAUGAAGAAUGAUCUCGGAUGUGGGGGUUCAGCAGCCGCAGGAGCGUGAUGUUGGGAUUACAGGCAAGGCUCAUCCGCAAGGCUUGGACAGCAGAGCGGCGGGGCUCCAAUGUCAAGGUCUCGAACAGGGAGCAGCAUCAACCGUCGCGUUAGUUGGGCCCAAUUUUAUUCGUACGAAGACGUUGUAGCUGUGCAGGGCUUCUCGUGGCGGGGAAGCAGUGUGGUCACCGAACAGGGAGGUCAGAACGGCAGCGAUGUAGGGCUUUCUUGGUGCAAGCAGUGUUGUCUCCGUUGGUCAACGUGAGUGCCUCAGUGAAUCUUGGAGGUGCUCUUUGCCUCUCACGAUUUUCAACGAGCCAACCCCGCACCUCACAAAUUUUUCUCCUCCAUUCUCUCUCUAUUCACGUAUGUUCAUGCUUUUCUCAGGUUUGUGGCCGUGUCUUAAUUUUUUGGUGGCCCUCUGAAUCCUAUGGCUGCGUUUGGUCAUCCAGAUUUCUAAACGGGAUAGGACUGGAUAUGAUAGGAUAAGAUAUCCACAGAUUUCUUCAUAUCCCAUGUUGACACCUAUUUUAAGCAAAUCUAGGAAAAUAAGGAAAAUAAAAAUUGCAUUCGAACAAAUAAAAGGAAAAAAUGAAAAAAAUGGAAGAAAUUUAUUUGAUUGAUUAUGCAUGUAAAUUUGAAAUUUUAAUGAGCAUUUAGAUUUCGUUAAAUGCAGAAGCAAUUUAAAAAUCAAGUUAAUAAGAGGCAAGAAUCUUGCAAAAUGGAAGAAAUAUGAGCAGGAUUGAGCUGAUUGCGAAAUCAUGCUCUGAUUUGCAACUUUGAUUUAAUGCGACAGAAGAUGGAAGUUUAAAAUUUGUCAUAGAAAGCGGCUGAUCGGAACCACUAUAAAAAGGAGUUGACCUACACAGGGUGGAGGAGGGAGAAUCCGCUAAAAAAAUUUCGUGAAAAGAGCUAAGAGGAUUCGUGAAAGUAAAAGAAAAAAAGAGAGGAAAUCCCAUUUUCUCGUCCAAGGGUCAUUUUCUUUUUUUUUUCCCUUCUGACAACCUGCAGAAGAAAAGAAAGGGAAAAGUCAGCAAAAGAAAGAGAAAAAGUGCAGAGAAGUGACGUGUGGCCGGAAAGAAAAAAAAAAGAAGAAAAAAGAAAAAAGCAGCAGGAGCUACUGUUCGUCUUCUUCGCGUGGAAGCCCCUGCCCACGCUCGCGUUGCACCUCCUCCGUCCGUGAGCAUUGCACCAGUACCACCCACGAUGCCACCGAAGCCUGCUUGCCGCCGCGCCACCGCAAGUACCGUCGUCGCGCCUUGCCGCCGACGCAGCAACCUCUCGCCGCUCCCUCCGAGCACCACCGCACCUCCGCCACCGUCGCCUCGUCGGAUUCGCCCCUGACGUGCAGUAGCACAGCCACUCCAUUCGCCACUCCUCGUCGCUCCGCACCAGCAGCACCGAACACCAGUCGCCCCGACGACCACGCUCCCGCCCUCGCCGACGCCGCGCCACUGCAACACCCCUGCUCCGCCCGCGACGCUGCCUGUCAAUCUCCGAGCUCCGCUGCGCCUCCGCACCGCCACCGACGCCUGCAGCAUGUCCCUCCGCUUCGCCUGCAACCCGCCGGUUCGCAAUUUAGCCGGUCAUCACCGCGCCUCCGCGCACUAGCACCCGUAAGCCUCGCCGCGCAGCAACCUGCAACUCGCAGCAACUCGCGUACACCACCCGAUGACCCCGCGACGCUGCAGCAGCCCGAGAACCCGCGCCGGCCAUCGCGACCCGCUCCUGCCCAGGCGACGCCGGAGCUCCGAAGCCUGCCGCUCUCGACCUCGCCGCGUGACCGCGCCGCUCGCCUCAGCCAAGCACCCGGUGCCUUCACCGCCCAUCUUUGCUCACCGGACGCCGCACCUCGAAGCCCGACGCCUGCUCCGCUCCAUUACUGUUCCACAGCAACCGAGCUCUCACUGUUCACCAUUGCUGCCGCGACCCAUGAGCCCGACGCCGCCGCACCUGCUGCUGAGUCCUCCGUCCGAGCGCCACACCACAACUGCCAAGCCCAAUUUUUGAAAAAAGAAAAAAAAAAGAAAACACAUUAGGUAGUUUUCUUUAGUUUAUUUUAUUUAUUUUAUUUUACUUUAUCUUGUUUUUUUAGUAUAAUUAGUCUUUAGUAUAUGAUUGGAAAUUCCAACAUAUCACCUGAUUCGCAACCGCACUAUGAUUUUUUUAUUUCAUCUAUAAGGUCUUAGAUGAAAUAAUUAAUUAAGCGAGAAUAAAAUUGAUAUUUUGAUCUUUAAGGCUUAAGAUCAAUUUAUCAAUUUUAUCAGCGAAAUAUUAUUCCUUGAUCUGAAUGAUGUGUGAUAUCCUUGGUUUAGCUUGUCAUGAUCGCUUUGUUUAUCUUGAAAUGUGUUUGCGUUAUAAUAUUGCAUGUUUUAGGGUUUACAUAUUUAGAAUAUGAAUCUUAUUUCAAAUUUAAAAAAAAAAAUCAAAUCAAUCAAUUUAGGUUGCUAGAUUUUUAAUUUGGAUUGCAUGUUUAAUUAUUUGGCAAUUAUUAAUUUCGAAAUUAAACAAAAACAAAAAAUCAUCAUAUACAUGUCAUGUAGUGUUAAAGCAUAUUUUUCACGUCAUUGCAUAUUAGGACUAAAUUGCACUUAGUUUAAUUCUAGAUAAUAUUUUUUCUUAAUUUGUUAUAAGUUUAGGUAUUUUUUAGAUAUAUUGCAUUUUAGGAUUAUUUAGGUUAAAAUAAUUUUUUAUUUUAAAUUAGGAUUUGGCUCAACCUAAUUCCUAAUAUAAAUUAAAUAGGAUCUUAAUCUAAUUAGGUAAUUUUCACACUUCACCUGAAAAAUACAAAAAAAAAUGUCAUAGGUUAAAUUAGUUUUAUUAUUUAUGAUAAAAUGCAUUCUUUUAGGAAAAAGAAAAAAUGUCAUAUGCACGUCAUUAGGGCUAGAUUCACUGGGAUGCAUGUCAUUUAGUAUUUUUGCUAGGCCUAUUUAAUUAGAAAUUGCAUGUCAUUAGAAUUAGGUCAUUUAGUUAAUAUUGCAUUGCAUAUUGCAUGAUUUUCUUUAAUUAAGUGAAAACAAAAAAAAAUUGCGUGGUAAUUAGAAAUCAUAUCUAGGGUUGUUGAUGCGGUUUUUAACUUAACAUUACAUAUACUUUCAUUGCUUUGAGGUAAGUUUUUGCAAUUUAUUUAUUGUUUAUCUGGGUGUUAAAUUGAUGGAUUGCGCACCCACAUGAUCACUUCACAUGUUAGGAAAAUAGAUUUAAAAUCAAUUUAAUCUGCCUGCAAAAAACAUUUUUUGAAAAUAAAAGAAUGGUAUCGAAAGGGCAUUAGAGAAAUCUAGUGUAACCAAGUCCCCGUACCCAUAGUCUCUGGUUCGUAGGAGUAAAGUGAAACUCCCGUUACUUUACUUGGGUUUCUAAUCGACCCACCAAAAAAUAGAUUAGUGGCGACUCCUGAUUAAAAAAUUAAUUGCAUGUUAAGAACUUGAACUUAAGUCGCGAAUUGGUAUGGGAUUGGGAGAGCCUGAAUUAAGUCUAGGCUUAAUAAUCUAUUAGCCAAACCCUAGGUGGUUCACACCCGAAAAAUUUGGUCGCGACAUCCCAUCAACUGUUUGGUGAACUACGGAUUUAAAGUCGGAUAUUCUCAUAUCCUAUCCAAUCUACUGUUUGGUGAACUAUGGAUUUAAAGUCGGAUAUCCUCAUAUCUUAUCAAAUUUAUCAUUUGGUGAACUACGGAUUUAAAUUCGGAUAUUUUAAAAACAAUAACAUUAGGAAAGUACAAAUUUGCAGUUUUAAUAUUCACAAAAUCAUCUAAAACAAUCUAUCCUUUUCAAAUUAACAGAUUCUUAUUGAAUUUCAUGAUAAUGCAUUGUAAUAAUAUUUUCUGUUCCUUUGAAAUAAUUUUUUGGAUACCCCUUCAGCAUCAAAUGUUUUUUGAAUAACCUCAAUUUCAAUAUAUUCACUUUGAAACAUGAAUUCUUUUUCUCUCAAGUUUUUCAUUUGUUUCAAUUUGUUUCAUUCAACAUCAAACGUUUUUAGAAUAACCUCAAUUUCAAUAUAUCUUCCCUAGUUUUCUGUUUGUAUCCAAGUUCAUGGAACUGCUUUGCCACAAGAAACGAUCUUUGUAGCUAAACCAAAAUUAAAAUGAAUUUGUAGAUGUCUCUCGUGUCAUCAUCUCAAACGAUAACCCAACCGAAAUAAUAUACAUGAACCAAAAUAAGCUUUCAAUCUGUGUUAUCACAAGAAGAGUAAAAUGUACACUUGUUUUCAGUGACUUCUCAACAGAUUGCAAUAGUUAAAUAUGGACAAGAAAAAAUGGCAAAUUUAUGUUUGUAGCUGCCCUAAAAGAAAGGCAAGAAUUCUUUGCUUGCUGCUUCUUAUUAUCCUCUUAUCAUGGACAAACAAAAAGCCACUCAUGAUGAUGGAAGCGGAGUAGCUCGGGCACCAAAUUCAAGUGCGUCUUUGUAUCUCCUUAUAAGGAAAAAUAAAGCAGCUGCAUCGUGUGCUGCAACUUUUGAAGAGAUCAACUUGAAUCUCAAGUCCAUGAACACAUUAUGUGGGACAUGUUCAGAUGAUGAUAGUUUAUCAUUGUUGGCAAUCAACUAGACACUUCACCGGAGUUCCUCCUGCUCGGGCCUUCUAAAUCAUCACAGUUAGGCUGCUCACAAAGGCACAUUAGAGGAUUUGCAUGAAAGUAAUCCUCUUCCUUGGGCUUAUGACAAUAACUCUACGAUGACUUGGCUUUGCCAUGUUCUUCUCAUGUGCCAAAUGUACAUCAACUUCAAAAUUAUUCUGUGAAAGUGUCCCAUUCUGAUGCAAAUCCAGUAAAACCACAAGCCUUUGAUGAUCUAAGAGAACGAUUCUCUUAAAUCCAAGAUACCUGCAGAAAAAUGUCACGGGUUUUUUUUUUUUUUUUUUGGUAAAAAAAAAUGUCACAGUUUGUACACAACUUUUUGAAGGAAAAAUGGAUAGGCUUAAUUAAAUCGACUUGUUCUUCCAAGGGAAAUAAUGGAAGAAUGUCAAUCAAGUUAACACACAAACAAGCAAUCUCGAAGGUCCUAAGGCAAUCAACAAAUAACCAAUCAGUUAACUCCCCCUUCUCACAUUCAAUUGGGACAAAUCUGCCGCAAUCGACAAUGACCAUUUGUGAUAUCUCAUAGUGUCCACUCAAAACAGGACAAACAAAAAUCAAUUCUUUGUCGCAACCCACAAAAAGACGUACAUGAAUCAUGUUGGUGACACGAACUAAAAUCAUCAUUAGCAGUGUGCUUGGCCAUUGCACCGUCAGCUUGAAGUAAUCGAAUUCUCUCUAGUGGCCUCCAUCAUCAGUCUCUUAAGCAAUAAUCACCCCCAAUCCCCAUGACGAGAAGCACCAGGCAAAGGGGAGAUGAAGAAGAAGCCAUCGAUGGAGAGAGAGACCGAGAUAGAGAAUCGAGCGGAGGUAGAUUUAGGGCGAAGGAAGUGUAGGGUUGAGUGGGAGAUGAAGAAGAAGCCAUGCUUGUAAAUAAUGACAUGCUCAACAUGAUUGGCAGACCAAAUGAGGCUCGUAUAAUGUACGAGAAGCUUCAAUCUCAUCCAAAUGCUAAAGUCGGCAAGAGAGCUAUGCAAUUCAUGUUUAGCUUCCAGGUAAUUGUUAAUGUGAUGUCAAAGAAGGUGUAAAAGUACAUCAUUGUGAAUUUGUAGGCUAUUUCUAGUUUUUUUUUAAGCAAGCAUAAUUGCAUUACUAGAAAACGUUUGUAGCAAAUACAACGCUAACAUCCACACACAAUAGAUCUAAAAGAGCUGACGGGGGGUUAUUAACCCAAUUCCUAUUAAGACAUCACAUUCGAUGGGCUUUAGCUAACCAGUCAGCCACUUUCUUUGUGGUUUGACUACAAUGGGCUAAAGUGGUACCUGACAUGUGUUCCAGAUUUCGCUUAGCCCGAUCCACUAGUGGUUGUAUCUCCCAGCUACACGUCUCUGAAGAGAGGACCCCAUUCGCCAUCGUACUAUAGUCAUAAUGUAUGAGAAUUUCUUUUUCAGUUUUAUUUGGGACCAACUUCAAUGAAAUAAAAUCUAGGGUUUCCACCAAGGCCAUUACCUCCGCUUGCUCCGCUGAUCUCACUUCCACAGAUUUCGUAAAGCCAUCAAUAAUUCUGCCCAUCUCGUCCCUGCAGAUACAAGCUACAACACCUUUGAAGGGAGGGUGUCGCUGUUGAGAUCCAGAGGAGAAUUCGAGCUCUUGUCCAUGUUGUUCUAAGGUCGAGCUUUUUUCCUGGUCGUCUGCAAAUUUUCCUUUUAGCUGAUCUGUCCUCCCCUUAUUGCCAUCAUCCGGCGAGCAAGUCAGUUGAGGUUGCUGUACAGACUCUGAGAUGAAUUCGAUUUGUACACAAUCAGCGGCAUCCAUUCCAUUUUCAAAAAAGUUGAACAGAUCCAGCAAAUGUGUGUCUUUUCCUUUGUAUUUGGAGCAACCAAUUGUCCUAGCUCCCCUGUUGAGGUGUGGCGCAGUGCCGUUUGGAAAGGAUUGUCGUAUCAAAGUGCGUGAGAUCCUGCCUUCUUCUUGUCUUUUCAGAUUUGGGCUUAUUUGCUGUUUGCUAGCACCUUCACCUUCUUUAAAAUGCAAAGAUGACCUCUCCCUUUGCUCUUCGUUGCUACUACUUUGUGUACUUGAGUUAGUAUGUAAGAGGAUAUUGUUUGGGUUUUGUUUGCUCUGUCUUGUAUAAACAGCUCGCCUGGGCAACCUGUGGAAUAGAUUUAAGGUUGAUUUAUUGAAGUCUUUGCCUUUUUUCUUCUUUGUGAGAUCUAGUCUCGUAGGAAUUGUUGUUGGCGGUAAAGCUGAGCCUUGUGGAUUGUGGGUGGAACUCGCUGUUUGAUUGUUGUCAUGUAGGUGUAUCUGGUCCAAACUUCCUUCAUUUGCUUCUGGUGGUGUUAUUACACAUAUUUCAUGGUCUUCUUCAACCUCACUCCAUGAAUUGUCAAAAUUUGGGAGGAUGGAGGUAAAGGAGUCGAUGUUUGAGUCUUAAAUCUCUUUGCUUGCUGGUUGUAGCUCCGGGGUUGAUUAUGAAAAACCCUCAAUUCUGUGCAAUGAAAGCUCUUGGUUUGAAUGUAACUGUGAUCUAUCUAUGCAGGAAGGCUCAAAAGAUGCAUCGAUGUUGAUUUUGAGAGCAUCGGGUUUCGAGGGUUGCCAUUUGUUGUGUAAGUUGGUUUCUUUCUUCUGAUUCUUAGGUUUGGGAUUCCAUGUGAUGAAACUGUCUUGCGAAUUGAUGGCUCUAAAAAGGGUAUGAUGUGAGUUGAGGGGACUCUUUCUGAAUAUAUGGUGAUUUCAAUCCUUCCAUAUGCACCAUAAUACAUUCGCAAGCAGUUCAAAGUUAUGUGAUAGUCUUGAGCUUAUGUGCACCUGACAUAACCAAUCAUCAAAACGUGUUAAGCCUACUCGAUUUGCUUGAACUUGUAGGGGUGGCUCAGUCCAUAUUUGCGUAAUCCAUGGGCAGAGGAUAAAUAUAUGUUCUAUUGUCUCCGGUUUCAAUCCACAUAUUGAACAUGUAGGUGCAGGUACUAUUUUCCUUCUAUACAAGUUCUCCAUUGUAGGCAAAGCAUUCUAACAAGCACUCCAUAGGAAAUUUUUUAUAUCUUAGGUUGUAUAUUUGCGUUCCAUAUUCGUUUCCACAAGUCGGGGCUAACCUGGUAGGAUGUUGUUAGCUGUUGAUGUCGAUGAGUCAUUGUGUUUUUUCUAUGCCGCAAAUAUCCACUCUUCACCGUAUAUCUUCCUGAUUUAUUAUCCAUCCAAACUAGUUUAUCUUCCAUAGAUGGUAGGCCGAAAGGGGUGGCUAGAAUUUCCGUCACUAUGUUAUGAUCAAACAUAUCUCGCAAUAGGUCUUCUUUCCAUUCGGCAUUUUCAAAGUCUAUCAAAUCUACAACUGUGGAAGGUUCAUUCCUUAACGUGGGUCCUCCUAAUACACCUAUUUCCAACCACUUAUCUGUUCUGAUUGAGAUUUUUUGCCCAUUUCCCACAGCCCGCAUUACUUGAGGUGCUAUCGCUUCUCUCCUAGCUAAUAUACUUUGCCAUCCCCAGGAUGGGCGCGAUCCUUUUCCUGCUUGCUAGAAGUCACGGUUAGGAAAAUAUAGACCUUUCAUAAGUUGGCUCCAUAAAUUGUCUGGGUGUUGAGAAAGGCGCCAGGCUUGUUUUCCUAACACUGCAACAUUGAAAGUGAGAAGGUCUUUGAAUCCAAGUCCCCCUUCCUUUUUUGUGAGCUUAAGGAGUUCCCAUUUUCUCCAAUGAAGACCCUUCGUCUUGUUGUUGUUUCUCCACCAGAAGUUAGCAAUCUUCCUUUCUAUAUCUCUUAUAAUAGAUGCUGGAAUUUUAAAAAUAGACAUAGCAUACUGGGGUAUGGCUUGUACAACUGAUUUGAGAAGUGUCUCCUUUCCCGCUUUUGAUAGCAAGUUUUCCUUCCAACUUUCUAACUUUAUAUUUAUUUUAGCUAGAAUCCAUGCGAAGACUUCUUUUUUAGAGGCACCCCAGUUCGAAGGGAAUCCUAGGUAUUUCCCUGUUUUCUUAAUAACUGAAACUCUCAGCUCAGACGCCAUAUUUUCCUGCAGUUGUUCUAGACAACCUUUACUAAAGAAUAUCCUUGAUUUGUUAAGGUUGAUAGCUUGGUUUGAUGCAUAACAAUACUGAUGAAGGAUAGACGUCAAGUUUUGACAUUCCAAGAUUGUACCAUUUAGAAAAAAGAUUGAGUCAUCUACAAAUAAUAAGUGUGAGAGUGCGGCAGUUUCUGUUCAACUUGGUUCCCUGAAGAGUGCUUGCUUGUGUGGCUUGCUUUAACAAAAGGGAUAGAACAUUAGCCACAAUAAUGAAAAUAAGGGGAUAAUGGAUCACCUUGUCGAAUACCCCGAGUUGGUUGGAAAUAUGGUAAGGAUAUACCAUUAAGCCUGAUGCUAUAAGAGACAGUGGUAACACACUGCAUGGUCCAUUUAAUCCAUUCUUCACAAAACCCCAUCUUCCGCAAGCAUGCUUGAAGGAAAUCCCACUCUAGCGAUCAUACGCUUUUUGCAUAUCAAGUUUAAGGACCACUUGGAAAUGUCUGUCGAUCACGAGUUCUUACUCUAUGAAGGACCUCCUGAACAAUUAGGAUGUUAUCUUGUAUUUGCUGACCUCCCACAAAGGCGCUCUGUUCUGGUUCGAUUAGGGUUGGUAAUAGAGGUUUUAGUCUGUUCGUGAGGAUUUUGGAAAUGAUUUUGUAGGCAAAGUUGCACAAACUGAUAGGUCUGAAUUGUUCUAUGUUUUCUGGGUUUUGGAUUUUGGGGAUGAGAGUGAUUUGUGUUUGGUUAAGGGCUGGAUUUAGGGAUCCGAUCUCAAAGAAUUGUUGAACCUCCCGACAGAUAUCUUCUCCAAUGUCUCGCCAAUGGUGCUGGAAAAAUAUGCCAUUUAACUCGUCCGGCCCAGGAGCUUUAUUAGGUCCCAACUGAUAGGUAGCAUUUUUAAUUUCUUCCACUGUGACAGGAGCAAUAAGAUAUUGAUUCAUAGGUUCAUCCACCAAGUUUGGAAUAUAAUCCAGGAUGGGCUGAAAGUUUUGCUGUCCACAUGACAUAUAUAGGUUUUUGAAGAAAUUAACUGUCAUGGCCUGAAGUGCCUCCUGAUUACGAACCCAUUCCCCUUGCUCGUUCAAUAGCAUGGAUAUUCAGUUCCGGUUUCUACGUUGAAUAGUUGUAGCGUGGAAGAAUUUUGUAUUUCUAUCUCCCCAUUGUAGCCACUUUAUUUGUAAUCUCAUGCUCCAGAACAUCUCCUCUUGUCGCCAAAGGGAGUUGAUUUCUUGAUUAAUUUGUUGAAUUCUUUGUUGGUCAUAGUCACUAUCUUGACUAUUCAUCAAGGUCUGAAGUUCCUUUUUCAACCCUUCUAUCCAUUUAUAUGCAUUGGGAUAUCUUCUUUUACCCCAUUCAGCAAUUUUUGCAGCUACUAACUUUAGUUUCUCAACCAUAUUUUUGCCUUAGGAAUCAUCCCAAGUUCGUUUCACAAGCUUCCUACAAUCUUCAUCCUCGGCCCAAUAUGCUUCAUACUCGAACUCUCGUCUUCUGUGAUCUGUUUUAGGAUUCAGGGACAGCAGGAGAGGAUUGUGAUCAGAGCCUAUUGCUGGUAGGACUAUGACCUCCGCUGCAGGGUAAGCUAUUCUCCACUCCAGGGUACAUAAUGCUCUAUCCAACCUUUUCUUGACAUUUUCCUGACCACUCCUUCGAUUUGUCCAUGUAAAAGCGCAUCCUUUACUUUCUAAAUCCAUCAAAGAACAUGCAUGUAGGAAGUCUCUGAAGGCUGUAAGACGAAAGUUUUCUGCUAAUCUCUUUCCCAUCUUUUCCUAAUGAUACAGGAUACCAUUGAAGUGCCCGAUACAUAGCCAAGGUAGGUGAUUGAAUGUGCUUUCUCGUUGUAAUUCUUCCCAUAAGAGUAUUCUAGCAUUAAAACUGGUUGGAGCGUGUAUAAAGGUGAUUCUCAUGAGCUGCCUAUUUUCGUGAAGCCAACAUUGCACAUUGAUAAAAUUUUCAGAAGACGAAUCCACAACUAUAGUAACCAUUUCAUCCCAAAAGAUUGCCAAACCACCUGAAAAACCAUAUGGAUUCACCAAAAAGCUAUUUUGGAACUUCAGUCUAUGUUGCCAAUUUUGCACCAGCUGCUCUUUAUUUUUGGUCUCCAUUAAAAAUAGAAUAUUUGGCCAUUCUUGAGACACUAGGGCUCGUAAAGCUUGAAUUGUCAGGGGUGAGCCCAACCCUUGACAAUUCCAACUGAUAAGUUUCAUGGCUGACCUGGUGGCUUGUUAGGGCUGUAGGUUAUUUCUAGUUGAAGAGCAUCUAAAAUGAUGGUUAUGGUGCAAAUACUCUACAGGCCAUGGAGAUGAUGAAGGUAAGAAACUCAAAGCUCUUAGCAAAGAGCACAGGCUACCAAAACUACUUCGAGGCCUUCAUUGACAAUAAAAUCAACUAUUCUCUCGACAAGGAUGAAGAGCUCCAAGAAGGUGCACUCUCUCAAGCCUUUCCGGACAUAGUCUUUCUUCUUUCACCCAUAUUUGUUGUGCUAUUUAUUGUUGUCCAAAGAGGAAUAUAGUCCAUGAAGAUUAUAGGAUUGUCUUUUCCCCUUUUCUUGUUUUGGAGUUCCAAUGUAGAUUAGUUAUCCAAGUUGUUACUUCUAGCUGGGUUAUUGUUCUGCCCAACCUCUUUGGAGUUCUAUAUAGAGAAUCGGCAAGCACUUUUUGCUGAGAUUUUCGUUUUUUGUCAAAGUAGAAUUUAAGAUGAUAGACAGUGGUACUGUUUCCAUGGAUUGCUUAAAGCUAUAUGAAGAUUCUGAGCCAGUGCAAACCCGUGAUGAGUACUCUGAAAGUUGUGGCUGAUAUCUCAAGUUAUAUACCGAGGAUAAUGUUCCCAGGAGGCACAUUUAUUGCAGUCAUAAGGACGAGAAGAGAAAGAAGCAUACCGAUAAACUAAUGGUCCAUCCCUUCAAGGCUUACGCUUGUUUACAAGAAAAAGGCCGACAAUCAAUAAUUUACUAAUUUCAGGCUGUUGGUAAUGAAGAAUAUAUUAGAAGACCUCUUACUAAGAACAAAAUUGCUUGGUUUUUUUAAUCUGAUCAAAAUUGAUUAGAAGCUCAACCUACGCGCACUUCUGCUCAUUCCCAAUAUUUUCAGGCACGGACGUGCAUCCCCCUCCCAUGUUAGGAAGCCGAUUUCUUAAAGUGCCGUGACAAAAUGAUCAAUUCUAUAGAAAAGUACUUAUGCUUUUAACGUAGCGUUCUGCAAGUAUCCAUAGGGAGAAGCAAAUAAAAGCUGAGACAAUGACAAAAAAUGUAAGUUUUGCUAAUCAAGAAAUUAUUAUAAUUUCAUCCCAAUUCGACUCUUGAAUCUUGCUAAAUAAAAUCAGUGGCAGAUUGAAAUGUCGCAAGCAGAAAUUUACCCAUAAUUAAAAGUAGCAUGUCACAAAAUAGUCUAUUAGAGCAAGCCCCACGGUGAUGAGGACCUAUCGGUGAUGGGGAAUGUGAAAGCAGGCCCGCGAGAAUCGGCAGUAUUAGCGACAGCUGAAGUCGCCUGGUCGAACACGUAAUAAAUUGAUGGUACGCUUUGACGAGCAAAUAAUAAAAUGGACAUGAAGCUUUCAAGAGAAUAUCCUCUUUCCAUCAUUCCAUUAUUCCGGAAUCAGCGUCAUCAGCACCUAUAUUUCCAAGAGCAUCUAAAGGGAGACAUUCGUUUCUUAUAAGGUAGCCAGCUGCAUUUAUUGCACUCUGCUCGUGCAUUCAUAUUAACCCAAUCCCAUCAUUUGACUUUGACACCACGCUAGGGUGCAAAACAGCCAGGUGGAGGAAGCUCGACGACCUCGUCCAUUCAAAGUAACAUCAACCAGAAACUCAAACUUGUCAUCUCUAUAGGUUGCUGCUGGAAGCAUAUCAAGUUCCCAUUGGGCAAAGCUAACAAAAUCCGACCUCUGAACUGAGCUUUUCGAAGCAACUAAACUCGCUCUUAGUUGAUAACAAUCUCGAACAAGUGAUGAGCAUUUUGCAAAGCCCGUCAGGCGUUAUCUGUUUUUGCGUAGAUGUUUAUUCUAUACAUAUUAAAAUGUGCAACACAAGAAGGACGAGAAACAAGAAAAGGGUAAGCGACAGCUGGCGGCAUCUGGAGCAUCAGCAACUUUGCGUAUGUGAACGUCAAGAAACUUAGUACCCUCUUCAUGUUUUUUUAUUUAUUCUUUAAGGUAAAUAACACCCUCCUCCCCUAUAAAAACCACACAUAUUUAAUGGCUAUCCAUAGGUAUUAGAUCCCACACAUCCUUCUCACACCUCGAUGCUUCAAACAAUCCCCCUCUCUCCCCCCUCUCUCUAUACUAAAUCCCGCCUCUCUUUGUUGUAAGUAUAGAAAGAAAGCCUUCCUUUUCAUCCACCGAAAGCAUUUUGCUUCUCCAAUAUGGAGCUCCACAUUCCAAUACCACUCGCAAUCUUUUCCAUUUCCAUCAUACUUUUGACUCGCUUUUCUUCUUCUUCUUCUUCUUUGUCGUGGUCGUCACCGUCGAAUUUGCACCCGCUGGUGGUUGACUCCGCGCUUGAGCAUCUCAACUAUACCACCGUAUCUGAGUUCCGGUUACUAAACAGAAGGCAAAUUCUCCAGUGCCGCGACCCGAACCCAUAUCUCCAAAUCAAUGUCAGCGGCAACACCGCCCUUGGGGAUGAAGAGUAUCUCACGGUUAACGUGACCGGGGUCUUGGUUCCAGCGGACUCCGACUGGGUUGCCAUGAUUUCUCCAUCGAACGCCGAGUAUGAAUCAUCCUAAUAUCUAGUUUUGAACUAUAUUCGUACAUGUUAGCGGUUACUCAUUCACGUUCCUUCUUUUUCUUUUGUUUUGUUCUUGUGGGGUGCAGCGUCUCAGAUUGUCCAUUGAAUAAGGCUCUAUAUGCAGAGACUGGUGAUCUUAGUGAUCUUCCUCUUCUAUGCCAUUAUCCUGUCAAGGUAACCUUAUCUAACCUUGAGUCAUGCCUUGUUGAUGACUGAUCUUCCUUCUUGAUUAGUAAUGGAAACAUAAAGUAGUGAGGGGCUAAAGAAAAAAUACUGGAAUUUACAAGGGCCGAAGAGAAACGCAACUGAAAAAGAACUCACGCGGCACAUGCCUUGCUCCUUUUGCCAAGAGUUUGGUUUGGUCCUCACAAGUGACCCCCAACGUCAUGUCAUGGAGUUCAUAGCGUUCACGACACAAUAUCAUAUUUCAUUUGGUUAGGGACAUGUUGAGUUGCAACAUAACCAAAAAAUUAAUAUAUUUGAUACAACUCUUCCAUGAUUGUGUUAUGGUGGUAGAUAAAAUCAGAUUAAAAUGCGAAAAAAUAUGUGAAAUUCAUUUUACUUUUCGAAAUAUUCUAUUGAUGUUGCAUUUUCUCUAAGUACCAUUAACCUAAUUUAAUAAAUUCAACUAUAUAUAUUAAUACCAAUCCAACCUCAAGCUUUAAUGGUCGUAGCUGCUUUUAAGGUUUAAAGAAUUCCUCGUCAAGUCUUCAUCUACUAAAAGAAGCGGAGAAAAUAGGAGUCCUUUUUAUUUUAUUUUUGUCAAAGUCUCUUUUUGGGUUCAAAAGAGAAUCAAAAGAGUCUUUUGUUCAAUAAUCUGCUAAAGUUUCUAUCAAUAAAGUCAGAUUUUGUUCUGGUUGAAAUAUUUUGCGACGUCCUUUAUCGAAUUGUUUUAUCAUUGUUAUUUUCAUUUAAUAAAUAAGUAAUUGACUAUAGAACCAUCCUUCAAUAAUUUACAUAACUUUUUUUAAAAAAUUUAUGUAUUUUUUCCAUUGACCAUGAAAACACCAAACUUUGUUGAAUAUAAAAAAUAAUGAAAAUACUUAUCAGAGUUGGUUUUUUAUUAGUCAAAUGAAGACAUUCCAUAUGUAACUUAAAUUUGAGUAAUGCCAGGUAUUAAUGAAGGUUUACAAUUUAUUUAUUUUUUUUGUAUUUUUUGGUACAUAUAAGAUGCUGCAUGUACUCCAGUUACAUCGAAUAUUUAAGUAGGCCAUUUUUAUCAAAAUGCUUUAAAAUUUCAUUUAUUGCAACCACUAGUAUUAUACCUACAUCUUUUCUUUUCUUUUUUUGCAACGUCCCAAAUUCCCUAAAUUUUCUAGUAUACCUACCAUCACUUGUCUAUUUAGUUUUAGACUAGGAGAAAUGUUUCCACUUCAACUUUUUGGUGCACGCUUAUUUGCAUAAUUUUCAGGCACAAUACUUGAGCAAGGAUCCGGACUAUCUGAGCUGCAAGAAGAAGGAGUGCAAGGAAUACAAGGACGGUCAAUGUGUGGUGACCACAUGCGGCGGCACCUUGACGUUUCACGUUGUAAACAUCAGAACCGACAUUGAGUUUGUGCUGUUCGCCGGGGGUUUUGCAACACCAUGUGUAUUGAAGAAAUCGAACUCUUUGACUUUUGCUAACCCGAACCAACCGCUCUACGGCCAUCUCUCCAGCAUUGACUCGACUGGGACUUCAGUAAGCACUGAAUUGGCUAACAAUUGUUGUGUUGAGCUUGCGGGGGUCGUGUCGCCAACAUUUGGCUCUAUGAAUGUCAUGACAAAUGUCAAUUAUAUCAUUAGCCCAUGAAGUCGCGGUAACAUGCCUGCAUGACACACUGCGCCUGAGCGUGGAAUAACACUACCUAAAACACUCGAAAGCGAUGCAGACUGCGACUGGUAAUCAUACAUGCUCUAAUCUGCAGAUGAGGAUUACAUGGGUUAGUGGAGACAAAGAGCCCCAAGAGGUGCAAUUCGGAGAUGGGAAAUCACAAACUUCCGAAGUUAGUACAUUCUCACAAGAUGAUAUGUGCAGUGAGUUAACCUCAAAUCCUUACUUGAAAACUCUGUAAAUGCACUGGGACUUCCUUGUCACAUGCAAAACAAUGAAAUGCCUUAUGAAGACUCAUUCUUCACUAAAUUUAAUUUUGUUGGUCUAAUUUUCGGCAGGUAAUGUGCUACCUAGUCCUGCCAAAGAUUUCGGUUGGCAUGACCCUGGUUACAUUCAUUCAACCGUGAUGACAGGACUGCAGCCUUCUACCUCUUAUCCUUACAAAUAUGGAAGGUAGAAUCUCCUGACUGAAGCUGUGUUGCUUAUGAGACUGAUCGGUUUCAGAGCAGCUUGAGGUAUUCUUGCUGAGCAUAUUGCAAUAUCUCUGGCAUGUCUAUUUGAUGCAGGGUCAUCGAAUCUGCAGUAUAUGUGAAUGAAUUGAUAUGCAACGGACUUGUUCCUUACAAUAAUUGUCUAUGAAUUCACGACAUUAGGUAGAUGACAGAGCACCGGCAAAUGCUUCUAUAUGCCUUAGUUCUUUUAGAUGAAUUGUAGCUGCAUGUCUGAUCGAGAGAGGAUCGGGUACACGGCUUUCAAUAAAAAGGAGCAUCUUGUUAUCAUGACAUUAGAGUAAUACAUCGCAUGACAAUGCAAAUGAGUUUCCGCAAGUGGAAGUAGAUGGAGUGAUUUAUUUUUCACUGGCUUGAAUUAGAUGGUUGGAAAUUGAAUUGAUGAGAAACUUCUAUAUCAUUUGUUGGCAUAUCCGAUUUAUUUUUGGUGUUGGUUUUAUGAUAUCUAGUGAUUCAGCUGGUUGGAGUCAACAAGUUCAGUUCAGGACACCGCCGGCAGGAGGAUCAAAUGAACUCAAGUUUCUUGCAUUUGGGGAUAUGGGAAAAGCCCCUCUGGAUGAUUCAGUUGAGCACUACAUUCAGGUAAACAUGCAUUCCAUAGAAUGAAAAAUCGCAUUUCUGAUUGCAACAUUGAAAAGAUGCUAUCCAUGCUGGACAUACACUAGGAGGAAUGUGUAUCCUUCAAAAUUUUAAGAAUGCUGAUGGAAGGGACAAAAUAUGCCACGAUUUAGUGGGAGUAGCACAUUGAAAACCGGCUCUCCAUGAAACAUUAUUAGCACGUCACAUUCAUCUGAAUUAACUGUAAAGGCACAGACUAAGCUGUUUGCAAGAAUUCAAACUCCUGAUUAUGAUGGUAUCCUAAUAUGCGACUUCAUAUAAUUCUACAGCCAGGAUCAAUCUCCGUGGCAAAGGCAGUGUUGGAUUAUGUAGACUCCGGUAAUGUGGACGCCAUCUUCCAUAUUGGAGACAUAAGCUACGCCACCGGCUUCUUAGUGGAGUGGGAUUUCUUCCUCAACCUCAUCAGCCCUUUUGCUUCCCGAGUUUCAUACAUGACUGCAAUUGGGAACCAUGAAAGGUAACUAACUACCUCUAGUCGAUAUGCGUCUCUUCCUGCAAAUUAUGGAAGACUCAGUACACAGCUGAACCAACAUACUUAGCAGCAUGAAUCGAAGAUGAUUUCUAAGUUUCUUUACAUGAAGAGAUUAUGGGGGCUCUGGAUCCGUGUACUCAACUCCGGACUCUGGUGGGGAAUGUGGCGUUGCUUAUGAGACAUACUUCCCAAUGCCAACCCCAGCGAAGGACAAACCCUGGUAUUCCGUAGAACAAGCCAGUGUUCAUUUUACCGUGAUUUCAACCGAACAUGACUGGUCUGAGAAUUCAGAGCAGGUAAGGGUGAUCGAGCUGAACCCUUUUGUUCUCACAUUUGCAUGUCGAUGAGCUGUCAUUUUAUGUCAAGGGAAUGUCAUGUUGUCAGUAUCAAUGGAUGAAAGGGGACAUGGCUUCAGUCGACCGAUCUAAAACUCCUUGGUUAGUUUUCACGGGGUAAGUGCAUUUGCUUCUGGGUAAUUGUGAGUUUCACCACUUGAUUUUGCGUACUCUCAAAAAAAAAAAAAAUUCUCAAGAAAACAGAGAUCAAGUGUAUCGGUUGCCUCUUGCAGGCACAGGCCCAUGUACACUUCUGGCUCUGGAGGAGGUGCUGACCAAGGGUUUCUUGAUGCUGUAGAGCCGCUGCUAUUGGACAACAAGGCAACAUUCUGUUUCUCACUCCGGUUCUCAUCUAGAAUAAUCCGUUUAUUUGUGAGAUUGUACUCAUCAAGCAUUUGAUAUCACAGGUUGAUCUAGUUCUCUUUGGCCACGUUCAUAACUAUGAAAGAACAUGCUCGGUUUACCAAAAUGAGUGUAAAGCCAUGCCAAAGAAAGAUCAAAGCGGGGUUGAUACUUAUGAUCACAGCAAUUAUAGUGCACCUGUGCAAGUGGUUAUUGGUAUGGCCGGGUUCAGUCUGGAUGACUUCCUAGAUGAGGUUAGAGUCUGUUCUCCCUCUCACCGUUGAAAAUAGUUAACCAAUAUAGCUUUUUGUCUAAACUUGCACAAUUCUUUGGCAAUUUCUGAAAAUCCAUCCUUGUAUUGGUCAGUGCUUAAUCCCAAUUCCAUUUCUUGCAUUUACAUUGGCUGAAUGUUGCUUAGUCAAACAAUGCCGUCUUAACAACACCUUUCCGAUUUAUGGGCCUUGACAUAUCUAGAUUCCAGAGAUUUUUAGCUCGCUGUUAAGAAAUUAAAUGCUGAUUCUGCUGCUCAUAUCAUUCAACUUGAUACGGUUACACGGGGAUUUUCAUUUAUGUUGCUCCCAUGAAUAAGAUCUGUAGAAGUGAAGGCCCGUUGAUUUUUUUGCAGCCAAGUGACUGGAGUUUGAUAAGGAUUUCCAAAUUCGGGUAUUUCAGAGGACAUGCAACUCCAGAAGAGUUACAACUAGAGGUCAGCACUCUCGAAUUUUCCGUCGCCCUUCCCACAAUCGUCAUUCGGUUUGGCUUUAUGAUUGCUUACUCGAUUACAUAUGACUUCAUUUAUUGAGAGAUUGGUCUAGUCUGUUGUGAUGGUUUGAAAUUAGAAACUAUGUACAGUUUCUGAUGUCCUGUUCUCUAAGUAGAGUUUGGAACAUUAAGCAGCUACAUGUUACUGCAAUCAUGACGACCAUGCUUACAAGCUUAUUUAACUUCAAUCUACAUCUUGCCUGCAGUAUGUGAAUGCCGGCACGAGGAAGGUGGAAGACAUCUUCCGCAUCACCCGAUAACCGAAUUUUCAAGUGAACAGGAAGGCACUGCGGGCAAUAACAAGCUGCCAUAGCUACAUAGUUAUACACUUCCACAUUUUGUACUUUACAGAUACAAAACAUACAGAUAACUUGUGCUGAUACACAAGCAAUAAAUCUUGAUUUUCCGUGCAACCUAAUUGAAUGCUCUUGAUUUGUCAACAAGGAAUACAAAUUCAUGAUUUAAGUACUCUUGUGAGCAAUCUAACAAGAUUUGUUCGAUGCAAGAGUGGUUUCUCCUUCCGAUUGAGUUUAGAACCACGAACUCUUGAUAGUUAUCAUAAUCUUUCAAAAAUUGUUAUAUAUUUAUGUAAAAACCAGUUAUUUCAACUCACGAACUUUCGGAAUUUUCAUCAUGAAUGUGAUGCAAUGUAAUCAAAUUCAGGAAUUUCUUAGUAAUCCUAAAAAGUUUUGAAUUAUUUAAGUCACUAUCAAUAAUGAGUAAUGACACUCAACCAACCAACCUUGGUCAUGAAUAUGAUCAGCAAAAGCAUAAUCUUCUAAAUUAAUGUUGCUGACCUAAUUGACAAAAUAUCUCCCCUCUCUCAUCCGAAAAAUAGCGGUCCGAUCCAUACAUAUCACGCUCAACCAUCAAUUUGAAAAUCAUCGAGUCGCAACAUAUCACUCCAUACCUCUACUUAAGGAUUUACUUCUCAUUUGACUUGUCUCACCAUUUCAUGUAGUUGCAGCUGCAGCGACAACUCAAUUACCUAGCUAGACAUUUUUCUUAUAGGUAAUUUUUGAAAUUCUUUCCAGAGGGAAUGAUUGAUCAUGAUUUCCUUUGUGAAGUCGUAUUGAUGAAGUUUAUUGCAACGCUAGCGGCAUAGUACCUUUGUUUGACAACUUCAAGCUCUCGUGUUCGAGCCCGAUCCACUUCAUCCAAGUCCUUCACUACGCUCUACGAUCUGUGAAGCACUUCGCGAAAUCCAUGGUUCGCAAGAUGGAGACGGCGAAUUGGAAACUCGACGAUCGAACAGAUCUGAAAAUACCGGCUUUGUCCAUGGCUGGUCGGUAACGCUGCAAUUCACGAGGCGUUGUCCAUGUCCUGUCCAGGGCCUCAAAAGUGAAAAAAGUAAAGGAAGAAAAUAGUGAGAGGAGAGAGUAACGAGAGAGAGGGGGUGACCGAGGACAGAGAAAAGAUCUGAAAAGUGGGCUCAGAUUCACCGUGUGUCAAUCUCUGGAUGGUUCAAUGCAAAUCCUACUGUGGUGUGUUUAAUGUACAUAACAUUUUCUCGCAUUGCAGGGGUCCAUCUGCCAGGAUUUCACUUUCCAGGUGAUUACUUGUUUUCAUAUGUGAAGGAACUCCUGGCAAUAUCAAGCUUAAAGAAGCUCGGGCAGGGUAAUUUUAGGAUAUCUGGGAAUGAAAGAUGCUUCCGUGACUCCCUUCUUGCGUCCCCCCUCUGCUGCCAGAGUAGGCCUAGAGGCUUUGCAUCCUUUUCCGUCCCAUGCAUGAAAAUAAUGAUGUGCUCGACAUGAUUGGCAGGCCAAAUGAGGCUCGUAUGAUGUGCGAGAAGCUUCAAGCUCAUCCAGAUACUAAAGUCAGCAAGAGAGCCAUGCAAUUCAUGUACAGCUUCUAGGUAAUUGUGAAUGGGAUGUCAAAGAAGGUGGAAGUACAUCAUAGUGAAUUUGUAGGCCAUUUCUGAUUGAAGAGCAUCGAAAUUGAUGGUUGUGACGCCACUACCCUAUAGGCCAUGGAGAUGAUGGAGGUAAGAAGCUCGAAGCUCUCUGCAAAGGGGACAGGGCAUUGAGGCCUUUUAUUGACGACAAAAGUAAUUAUCCUCUUGACAAGGAUGAAGAAUAUACAACAAGCAAUCAAUUGAAGUUGUGGUCUCGAGAGAAGAUAUCUUUUUCCAUCAUUCUCUUAUUCCUGUUGUCACUUUCCCGGAGUUAGAGCUAGGAAAGCUAAUGAACUACUAAAUAGAAACGAUGGGUGGUUUCACGAGACAAUCGCUCCUGUUUAGCACGGAUUGUUUCAAACUUUACUAGUCACUUGAACCCAAUUCAACAUGCAUUUAAAGUUAUCUCUGCUACUAAUCGGUUAUUAGUUGAUUGGACACCCAAGCAAAAUGUAGGAAUGCAUUUUAUUUUUACGAAUUAGAGAUUCAAUAGAUUUGUGGACUUGGUUUUGUUAGAUUAAUUUAACACUUCUUCAAUACAUUUUCUUUUUAUUUUGGAGAUGUUUCUGCAGACAAUCUUAAUUAAUUUUAUCUGAUGUCAUUAACAUAUGAAGGAUGAUCAUGUGGGUGCAUAAUCAAGAACGUAUAUACUCAAUAAUCAAAAUAGUAAAUAGAUUGCAAAAAAAAUUAAAAAAACUAGAUGCCCUAAGAAAGCGAAGCGUAUCCCUAUUCAUCACCAAAGAUUCCGCAAAUUAUUACUAUAAAAAAUAUGUAAAUAGAAUGGACGAAUGUUAUAAUAACGGCUUACUAAUAUGCAACCUACACUAAUUUUUUUGUAUAUUUUAUAACUUAAUUAACAUGUAGGACUUAGAGAACCCGCAACUGCAUCCUAAAAUUCUAUGCGACAGGAAUUGACUUACACGCACUAACUAGAUUACGAGUUUUUCAUGGGUGUUAUAUAUUACAUGGGUGUUAUUAUUGACACUUAAAUUUUGUCAUUUUAUUUAAGACUUAAUGUUACAGAAAAUUAGGGAUUAGUCUUUAACCCCUAAAUAAAAAUUAUUUUUCAUCAAAUUGCAUCACAUAGAGAUAUUAGGAGAAUUUACAUUACUAUCACUAAUUAUUAAAAUUUUUAAAAAAUAAAAAUAAAAAUAUCGAAAAAAAUCGGAAAUUUUUUUAUUUUUUAUUUUUAAAAAAAGGCAGACCGGGCUAGGCCCGGUCCUUUUCCGUUCUCCUCUCCUCUGAAUCUUUUUCCGCCUGGGCCCAAGCCCAGCCUCAUUUUCUUUUCCCCAAGCCCGGCCCCUUCUCUAUUUCCUCUCUCCUUCACGCCCUCACGCCGGUCUUGCUUUUGGCAGGAAAGAAACGUACAAACCAGAGGGGGCAGAUGGCGGCGUGAUCUACGGAUCGGCAUCAUUCCGACCGGCAAGUUGGCGGUGGCAGAAGCCAAGCACCCCGGCCGUGAGAGAGAGGGUUUUUUUUUUUGGGUUCUGGUUUUUUUCUGCAGAUUUUGGCUCCGAGAGAGCUCGAUUUAGAGAGGCAGACCGAGAGAGUGAGCAGGAAGAGAGAGCAAGCAGGCUGGUCCACUCGCACGAAGAAGGAAAAAGGGGGCGAGAUCUGAGUGUUCGAGAGAGUCGAGAGCGAGCUAGAGAGAGUGUGAGAUCGGGAAAGUCCCUGGCCGUUGCCAGAGGCCCGGCCGUCAGUCGCCGUCCGUCGCUACGUGUCUCAUCCGAACCAGGUUGGCCUUCCCGAGCUACAUCUGUUCAUUUUUUAGGCGUCGGGCCGGAGCUCGCGUCCAACCGGUUCGCGCGAGCUCCGGUUUCGUCGGUCCUCGGGUUGUGGCCGAAGCUGUUUGUCCUUCCUUCGUAUCUGUUCCAAAUGCGACCAACUAGCCUCUGAGUUGAUCUUGAACGUUGCUCGCGCAUGUCGUGUUCAUGUUUGCCUCGAAUGAGUCUGCGUUCUUCUUUUUGGCCGCUGCAUCCCAAAAGUUUGAUAAAAUGCUCGAAAGAGAACGGAAAGAAUAUUUCACGUUUUGACAUGGGAUCGGUUCGUUCUUGCUCCUAUAUCGGCAAAAUUAUAUAUUUUUUUGCUUGUUUCCAUUGAGUUUUUGUACAUUUAUCGUAAAAGAAUCAUGUAUCGUCGAGUGGUCGUGUUUCUUUGUUCCGGCAAAUGGGUUAAUGGUCGCCGGAGUUCGUGGCCGACGGUGGUCGGUGCCGGUUGGAAUGGACGACCGGUAGAUGGUGGUGGUUCGGCGGUGGAACGCCGGUUGCUCCGGUCGGUGUUGCCGUUUGGACGGGCUUCGGUGAGGAACAAGAUCUCGGUGAAAGAAGGGGCUUCGAGCGUGCAGAGAACCCACGAAGAAGGGGAAGGCCAGAAGAAGAAAAGAAAAGAUUAAAGGAAAAAGAAAAAUGAAAAGAAGAAUUAAAAAUUAAUAUUGAUAUAAAAACGAAAAAGAAAACAAAAAAAAAGGGUUUUAUGAAAUAGGUUUUGUCCGUCUUAGGUUAUGUUCAAGUUGUCGGACCGGGCUUGCGGGUCGGAUUGGGUUUAUCUAGUCCGAACCUGUUUUUCCGAACAUAAUAAUGUUAAAUAUUAAAAAUAUAUUAAAAAAUUUCAAAGAAAUAAAAAAAUUUCAAAAAAUUUUCCGAAAAUUCAAAAACUCUCUGAGAACAUUAAAAAAUAAAAAUAAAAAUUCAGAAAAUAUUUUAAAAAUUCGAUUUUUUAAAAAUAGAAAAUUAAAAAAACUGUUAGAAAAUUUCAUUAAAAAUUACAAAAUCCCAUUCCUUAAAAAAAAAAAAAGAUUUUAUGAGCUAUACUUUUUACAAAAAUAGAAGCUCCUUAAUUCUAAAGUUGUGCUAAAAAAUUAAGUAAACUCUUAAGGUUUUACUUUAGGGUUUUAAUUGUCCCCAAAGACAAUUACUCUUGUUUGCAUGCUUUUGCUAUUUGUGGCUCCCUUUAGUUACAAUCAACAUUUAUCUUUUCCUUAACAUUAAGUUCUUGUUAUCCCAUGAAAUGUAUUUAAUGCUUUCUUUGGUGACUGAUUAUUAUUUUGAUAAUUAUGCACUUGCAUGAUCACCUCACAUGUUACUGGAUAUGUAUAAAAUUAAUCUAGACUGAUUGAUAAUUUUUUUUAAACGAACAAGAUUAGGUACUGAAAUGACACUAAUUUGUUAAUUAGUGUAAUCAAGUUUUUGACCGUAGAUUCUUAGUUGUGUAAGAAGUGGGGUACAUUAUUAUGUCUCUUUUAAGUUGACCUUAAUAGGCUAGUGAUUGACUCUUUAUUAUAAAAUUCUUAUGAACAUCCUAAUGUUACGUGAGGUAUGAAUUUAGGAGAGCUCGUGCUUGAUUAUGGGUAGUAGGCUUGUCUUUAGACAAUAUCCCUAAACCUAUUCCCUUCUCGAGAGGUAGGUCAUGACAGAUAUGUGCACCCCUUGAACAGCGAGAAGACUUCAUUGAGUUACUAUGCGCUAGUUUUUCAAUCACUGUCAAUAUCGAGCUAGAUCGGACAAAGCCCUUGAUAGAGGACCUCUCUUUCCGUUUCUUUGCAAAUUAUGAGGUCAAUGAAAAAAAAUUUCUUUCUGUUGAAAUUGGCAUCCAAGGCAGGUUUAUUAGGUUUUUCUAUGUUCAUGUACAUGUUUCCCUUUGGUCUUUGUAUUUUGACUUCAUUCACCAAGAGAAUGAUCUUUGGCCGUGGCAACUUGUGGGCACGGCAUUAUGCAAAUUGGUUUUUUGGUACCAAUAGAUCUGCCUGCCAGUAAAGUUUAGCGAUAUGCUCAUGUGCCCUCGCAAUUCGACUUGAGCUGAAGGCACGCACUAUUCAAACGCGUGUCCUGACCGAUGCCAUCGCGACUCGACACGAUUGACCGUGUUUAUUUUGCUUGUUGAAUGGUCAUAAAAGAAAAUAAAUGAGAAGUUUUGCAUCUUAAGAAUUGUUAAAGUAGGUUUUCAGGCUUCCAAAGCCCACGAGAACCGCCCUGUUCGUAUCCCCAUAGACCUUAGCAGAGGAACUCGAAGUUUUCUAUUUCACCGAUGCCAGAAGUAGCAAGACCUUCAUUUAGACAGUGUCAGUUUUCAAUAGAAAAACUACAUAUGACAUGCAUGAUUCAAUGACUCUUCUUACAUAGUGCGGAGGAUUACAUGGCCCAAAUGUAUUUAGACAAACGAAUGGUUGUUGCUGAGUUUGUCACGCCCUGACUCUUGAGAACGUGCACAUCCCACUAUGGUCGAUACAAUUGCGACUUCCAAGACUAGCUACCGACCCUUUCAUUUUUAAUGCACAUGUGAAAGUGAACAAUAACCCUGACAACAAACAACAUGGGAUAGAAAAGCGGGACAAUAUUUCACAAAAGCACACUUUUAUAAACAACGGGUUUAGAUACAAAAAGAGUCUAGGUAAAAGCCUACAAAAUGAUUGACUCUAAAAAAUACACUGAUCCUUCAUACUUCACUUCCACAUACUCCAGGGCUUUGGUCUUCCACGGCUUUGGUCUUCCAUGGCUACCACCUCCACAGACUUUAGGGCUUUGGUCUUUCACGGCUACCAUUGAGGAUCUGAAAAUGGUUAUACAACAACUAGUGAUGUCUCAGCAAGUCUACCCUCUAAACUCUUAUUAGGAAGGAAAUACGCUUCAUGACGCCCUAAUCACACAACCACACAAUUAGAGUUGAGGUUUUACCUCGCCUCAGUUCCUUCCUGCAUAUCAGCAUAGUUCACAUCCCAAAUGCAUAUAAUUAAUGCACACAACAAUUAAAAUGCUUCAUCCACUCAAUCAAUCAAGUUCCUAUCAUAUGAUAAAUUUCCGCAAAGUUUUUGAAAUUCCAUUAUGUUUUUACCAAACAAAUGUUAUUACUCUUUCAUGCUAAGUUGAAUCACAGAUAGCACUGAGGUGAUAGACUUUGCCGGUUUGGGGAGAAGCAAAUGCAACAUACUUUUCAUAGCUAUUGGCAUAUAUUCAAUUUUUCCCGUGAAGAUGAUCUUUUUAUUAUAUCAAACGUUGCUUCAUUUGUCAGGAUAGUUGGCCCUCUGAAAUUUUCAUAUGCUCUGACUGGACUUGUUAUCUAGUUGGUUGGUCAUUACAUGCAGAUCAGAAAACAUAUAUAUUAUGCAGCUGUUAUUUUCUGUGCUAUCUCUCUGGUGUCUUCCAAUGAAUCAAAUGCCAGGCUAAGCUUUUUUUUUUGUCAUUGUUAUUUUUAUCGUUCAGUUUGGAGGUGGAAGGACCAUUCGCCGGGGGACGUGCUGGAAACAGCUGAAGAUAGGGCUACUAAAGAUGCGCGUACUAGAGAACUUGUUGCUGCUUACAAGAAAAAAAAUGGGCUUAAACAUAGAUGCGAAGUUGAAAUCUGAGUGUGAGAAGGUACCAUCCUAGUAAAUUAUGUGCGAUAUGGGGUAUAACUAAUACUUUUAGACCUAGCCCUUUGUCUUAGUGUUUUUCUUUCUCUGCCUUUCUGUAGAGAUUUACGAGACUAUUUUUACUGUAGAUUUAAAGUCAUUGAAUUGUUCGCUAUUGAAGGCUCUGAAGGAUGGUGACUCUCUGAUGGAUGGUGGAAAACUUAAGGAAGCUUUACCAUUUUAUGAAGAGAUCAUGAAUAAGCUGCCAUUUCAGGUAACCCUGCCAAAAGUGUAAAGAGUUUUUUUCGUUUGAGGGCCAAGUGUUACAUGCGCUCUGGUGCGAUGGUUGUUUGAUUGUGAUAUUUUGUUUGAUGGUUUGAUCCCCUAAUGAUUUGUAUAUGCAGAGUGAACUUCAUGGAUUAGCUGCAUUGCAGUGGUCCAUCUGCCAGGAUUCACUUACCAGGUAAUUACAUUUUUUCGUAUGGGAAGGAAUUCCUAACAAUACCAAUCGUAAUGAAGCUCAGGCAGGGUAAAUUUAGGAUCUCUGGGAAUUAGAGUUGCUUCUGUGACGCCCUUCUUGCAUCCCCUCUCGACCGCCACAGUAGGCUAGAGGCUUUGCAUUCUUUUCUGUCCCAUGCUUGAAAAUAAUGACAUGCUCAACAUGAUUGGCAGACCAAAUGAGGCUCGUAUAAUGUACGAGAAGCUUCAAUCUCAUCCAAAUGCUAAAGUCGGCAAGAGAGCUAUGCAAUUCAUGUUUAGCUUCCAGGUAAUUGUUAAUGGGAUGUCAAAGAAGGUGUAAAAGUACAUCACUGUGAAUUUGUAGGCUAUUUCUAGUUGAAGAGCAUCUAAAAUGAUGGUUAUGGUGCAAAUACUCUACAGGCCAUGGAGAUGAUGAAGGUAAGAAGCUCAAAGCUUUCGGCAAAGAGCACAGGCUACCAAAACUACUUCGAGGCCUUCAUUGACAAAAAAAGCAACUAUUCUCUGGACAAGGAUGAAGAGCUCCAAGAAGGUGCACUCUCUCAAGCCUUUCCGUACAUAGUCUUUCUUCUUUCACCCAUAUUUGUUGUGCUAUUUAUUGCUGUCCAAAGAGGAAUAUAGUGCAUGAAGAUUAUAGGAUUACCUUUUUGUUUGUCUUUUCCCCUUUUCUUGUUUUGGAGUUCCAAUGCAGAUUAAUUAUCCAAGUUGUUACUUCUAGCUGGGUUAUUGUUCUGCCCAACCUCUUUGGAGUUCUAUAUAGAGAAU
rnacentral:lncRNA from 1 species